rnacentral:lncRNA from 1 species
CUACACCAUCACUCUUCAAGUAAGGUAACACCUUAAGGUACUUGACUAUCACUUUUAUAAGCUUCUCCUUGGUUCUGGCGUUCAUAUAAAUAAAAGAGACAAACAUGUAUGAUUUACAACUCUAGAUUAACCAACCCAACUGAUUCAACAUGUUUAGUCCUUUAAUCCUUGUUCUUAGUACUACCUCCAUGAUCCCACACUCCUAAUCAUAUGAGCUAAAAUGUUACACAUUCAAUCAUUGAGAGAGAUAUAAAGAAAUAUACAUAGAUAGAUUAUCUUUCCAUAAGGUUGAGAGAUCUGAUCUGACAAAUGUUAUAAGUGCUACGCUCAUGAACUUUUCAUCCAUCAACUUUGUCUUGCUCACUAUGCUUAGGGUUAGAGAAGAACAAAUACACUUUAGGUUAUGUUGGUGUUUUCCACCAACAGGACCCAUGCACUUGAUCUCUGCCUUGUCUCUAUGAGCAGGUACACUUCGAGCAAAACACGGAGGAGUUUUAUAACUCUCAGACUGUACCAAAUGAAGGACCUGGAUCUACGAGCACAAACACACUGAGCAGGAUACUGCCAACACCGCACUUCGAGCUGCUGGGCAAACGAAGAACAUGGGUGACACCGUAUCAAGAGGUGCAGACGUCAAGGUCCGCACCUGAAUCAAAUGACGUACCUGAAGAAUGAACACGGUGAGAAGUCUUGUUAAGAAGACUUAAAACAUUGAACCCUCGCCGAAAGGUAAGAUCGGUAGUUAUCCAUAUUUAUCCUUUCUGCAUUCCCUUUUCCCUUUAAUUGUUUACUUUCCUUAAAUAGAUUAUUAGUUAAUCAUGCUAUCUUGAAAAGAAAAUAAAAAUGUUAAAAAAUACUAAGCCCCAUGUGAGUAUACGAGUGGCAUAAAACCCAUAAGUACCUUCACUGUGGUGGCAUAAAAAUAAAAUAAAUAUUUCUUUUCUGCUUUAUAAAAUAAAAAAAAUAUAAAAACAGGGAGUAAUAUUUGUUGAGGAAGCUCAACGUGAUGAAGGCUAGAUAUUUAUGCUAACACUUAAUUAGUUCCACAAGCUUUGUUGUCUAUUUGAGCUCCACAGAAUUUAAGAAUCAAGAAGACUAGCAGACGGAGGACAUUCUAAUCGCUGUCAGAAUGCUGCUGACUUUCAAAUACACCUGCCACCUGCUAGCUACAUCAAGAGAAAUUAUGUCAAAAUUCAGCUUGGGGGAGAGCACCCCAUUUAUCUCGCUAAGUAUUUCUACCUAUCUUUAUACUUAUAUUAUAUUAGAAUAUUAAAAUAAACUAUGAAAAAGCAAAUAAAGAUUUUGUGCUUAUAUAUAUAUCUUUUGCUUAGUGUGUUUAAUAAAUAAAUAAAGUGGCUAUGCUAAUCUGAAUCUUAAUAAUAAAACUCUAGCGUGGAUAUGAUGAAUAGUUGCUCUGCCUAAUUUGCAAAUUUGAUGUUCUCUCUCGAGUUUAGACAUAACUGUUAUAAUUUAAAGCUUGCUCUAGAUCUAAACUUGUGGGAUGAAAACUUGAUCUGAAAUCUAAGUUGUUAACGGAUAUGAUAUGGGAAGGUUGAGCUGCUGUUUAUCUGUUCCUAGAGAUGCUAGAAUUCUGGAGAAUUUUAUCUUUGAAAAAUCUUUAAAAUAUUCCAUGAUGAGUUCCUGUAUGAUGAGAGUUUAAAUUCCUACCACAGCCAUAUAUACAUGCUUAUUAGACUAUGAACCAUACAUUUACUUUUUACUGCUUAUGAGCAUUGAGUGUGGUCAAGCUGUGUAGACCCUUAGGAGCUUGUCAUGCGGUUAAAAUCAAGAUUCACUUGCACGUUCACUCAUAUAUGCUACUUCUACUCCGGAAGUACCAUCCACAUAUAUCAAUCCAUGUCCAUCUCGAGAACCACCCAAAAAUAUUCUACUCCUAAUCCGGGAGAGAAUAACCAAAAAUAUUUCUGUUUUUCCUUGUGAAAUAAAUGCUCAAGUUAUCUUGCUACUACCACUUGCUAUAUUAUCUCAAGAGAUGAGUGCUCUGAAAAAAAGAAAAAAAAGAAAAAAAAAUAAUAAACGAGGAAAUAAAAAGGGGCAAGUGCCCGGAACCUCGAAAGAAAUAAAAACUGAGAUGAGAGGUAAAAAUGGACAAGUGUCCGAUAGUAGAGUUAGGGGUACAAGAUACCCACCUGAGAGGAAAGAAAAAGAAGAGCAUCUCAUUCUCCUCAUAAAGUUUCAAAAAGCAAGGAAGGUAUGUAUCCCCUCAAAAGAGCAAAAGUAGAAUUAGACUUUCACCAUUGUUAUCACCAUCAUCACCAUACACCAUUCAUUCGCCACGCAUGCACAUCUUGAUUUGGCUUAUUGAUUUGUUUCUUUGGAUCCAUGGUUUGACUAUACAAUAAAUGUCUUGUAAGUAUGUAUACUUUAUCUCCCACCUAUGAGCUCCGGAUAUUAAAGCCUUAUUAGAAUAGGGUGAGAGAGAAGGCAAUGUCACUAUGCCUUAUACCACAAAUACCACAUAUCUUGAGAGAAGGCAUAUACCAUCACUGCCUUGGUAAGGAUCCAGAAAUACCACAAAAGAGAGAUUUAGAGAGUCAUACAAGGAAUCUCUGAGUUUUAUUUGAAAAUCUGCAAAAACUCCAGAGCUAUAGCUGAUCAAGAAUAAGAGACAUGACACUUGGCUAUAUUGUUCUAUCUCUUAACUACUCAAGACAGAAGUGACGGUUACAAGUCCCAUAGUGAAAGGCAAAGUAAGUAAGUUUUAAGUCUUGACAGUUUACUCUAACUCAGAGAUAAGACCUCAUUUAAAAAGCAUGUGUACCGUCAACUUUUAAAAAUAUUGCAACAACUUCUGAUCCAUCGCUGAGAUUAUCCUUGCUCAGGGACGAGCAAGAGGUAAGCUUGGGGGAGUUUGUUGACGGUCCUUAAGUAUCAAAUUUAAUUAUCAAAUAAAUAAAGAAAAGGAUCCAAAUACAACCAACAUCUAAACUUAGGGUUUUAUCUGACAGAAUUCCACAAGUUUUGGUGUUUGUCUAUUUCUACAGGGGGUUAUCAGGAAAUAUGGAAGAAAGGCCCACACGUCGGGAUUACAUAGAGAUAUUAACAUGCCACGCAAUUUUCUACCAUCUAGAAGACUCCAAAAGCCACGGGAACGAACGGGAGGCUGAUCGGGCCCCGGGGCAGGGCGCCCGCCCAAGUCCCUUGGGUGCCCGCCCAGCUACAGUAACCAAUCAGCUUCAACUUCGCGGAUCAUGCUCCACCGACCUAAUACUUCAAGGAAAACCACACGAUCAAUGUCGGUUUGAUCCGAUGGCCCAGAUUCAUCUGAAAAGACUAUAUAACCAGACCCCCUGGCCCCAGGAGGAGACACCCCUUGAUCAUUAUUCAUUAUUCAUAGAUAGAGCAAAAGCUAGGGUUUAGAGAUGAGAGCUCUCCUCUCUUCUCUAAACUAGAGUAGAUCUAGAUAGUAGCAAGAUGGAGAGCGAAGGAGGAUUAGAGGAGAGGCCGUCCUGUCGGUUCUUCCUCCGGUUGUACUUCGUCAUGAUCAAGCUCUAAUCAAGCUUGCUCAUGGGAUGACUCUGGUAAUCUACUUCUAAUUCAUUAUGCAAUUACUAAUCAUGUAUGUUAUGGUUCACAACUCUUUUGAGUAUUCUAAUCUAUAGGACGCUAUAGGUGAGAGUUGUAGUAUAGGUGUAAGCGAGGUGCUUAGAUCUAGAUUACUUGUGGAUAUCCCCUGUCUAGCUGGAUCGUGUGGUAGGCCGCGUAGGUGACAGUUACGUUGGUCCUCUGUAGUCCACCUCUCGUUAGCAGGACGGGUAGGGUUUAUCGGCCUAAGGAUAAACAUCCUUUGUGGUGUACUCUUAUCACGUGGUUUGUCCCAGACAUAGACAUACCCCUUUGAAGUAGAGAAACCAUAGUUAUUCUCUCUAUUCUGCUACCAUCGCCCAUAUACUAGAAUUGCUCUACUCUCUAUUCCCAUAUUAUCAGUCACUGUUAUCUUACCUUUAAUAUUGUUCUUAUUCAAUUCUACCAUCUUUCCUAUUUACACUUAUCUAUCUUUCUUGGUUAAGUUAGAGCGUAGAUCAGUUCUCCCGUUUCCCUGUGGAUACGAUAAAACCUUUAACCGGGUAAAAAGCUUCAACGGUAUCCGUGCGCUUGCGGAUUAUCUGUGUGCGUAUAAAUACCAUAGUACACUCUAGUGCCAUGCUGAGGAUGACAACCUAGUAUUCAAGUGGUGUUAGCGAGUGUCAACAACCGGCAGAAGGUCAGUAGUAACUUCAGUGACGGGGUUACUCCAGUAGUUACCUGCAUUAAACAUGUCUACAAGAUUUGCAGAUUCUAAUCCUUCCGGUUGUGAUGGUAUACCGGGGUUAGUAACAGCAACAGCAGCAGCUAUUUGAUUUAACUAAGAUUCAAUCAUUUUUAUUAAAGCUAUUUUGAUUCUUGAUGGCAGUAGAGAAAUUAUCCAUUCUGUUAUUUAUAUUUUCUAGCAUUUUAUCAUUAGAUGCCAAUUUCUUAGAUAGGUUAUCCAUUAGCUUUCCUUGAUUAGACACUAACUCUCUCAGAGGUGGAAGAUUAUUAUUAUUGUAAGAAUUAUUACCUUGAUAAUUACCUGAGUAGUUAGGCCUCUGUUGAUUCCAACCUUGAUUUUGUUGAGGACGAUUGUAGUAGUUGUUGUUGUUAUUGUUGAUGUAGUUCACAUCCUCAAGUAUCUCAGGGCAGUGAUUGCCUGAGUGUCCAGUAUAUCCACACUGCUCACAAGUCAUGUGAGAGUCGUAGAUGUGCAUAACUUCUUUCUUAUCUCCAGCUCUAUCAUUGAGCUUCUUCAUGAGCAGGUCUAGCUUUGCAGACAACAUGUCUACCUCCUUGAGCUGAUGUAUACCUCCACCUCUCUUGCGUGUCUAGGUCCUUUCUUCAUUCCAGCUUUGGUUGGAUGCUGUCGGUGUUUUCCCCCUGGGGGGUCACACCAACGAGUAAAUUUGUAUGCGUGCUCCCUUUCCCAGAUGGUGAUGCAAGAAGACACAAAGAUUUAUCCUGGUUCGGGCAAGAGAAAGCCCUACGUCCAGCGGGGGAAGUUUGUAUUAUCUUGCACCGAAGUGCUUGUACAGGGGCGAAUACAAGCGUGGUAUGAAGUAUGGGAGUUCUACUGCGUAUGGGCGUGGUGUUGCCUCACGUGUUGUUGUCUAUCUAUUCCCGAGUCCUUCCUAUUAUAGCACCAAGGAGAGACCCAGGGUACAUGUAUAGGUGUCAGAGUAGGGGUCGAUAGAAGCAUUGAGUGCUGACCUACUCGAGGCUUCCGUACCGGCGUAGCCUCGAGCCGUGCCAUCUUGGUAGCCUGGUAAUGAUUACGCGUGCCCCUGCAUCCUGCUCUGCGCGCCGUCUUGGGCUGGUUCAACGGUCGCACGCUUGUACGGCAUGGCGGCAGAUCCGGCAGGGUGGUUGUGGUGUUGUCAGUCGACGCCCAACUCGUCUUCAGGAAGGAACCGUGUGUGGUCGAUGGUCGGACGCCGUGCAAUGCCCUAUUACCCGGAGCGCUGACCUUGGUUGCCUCGAGGGAGUACUGAUUGGACGUUCCAUCCCUAUUUCCCGCGUCCUGACACGCCCUGGGCCGUUUGGUGGGCAAGGCUGCAAAAAGAACGACGGGACGGGUGCCUGUUAUCACGCCUCCUGUGACCAGUGUGUUAGGUGGGAAUGCGGCGGGCGCAUUAAAUGUCCUGGCUCUCGUGCGCGCGUCAGGCGGCGGACAGUGUCCUUGCGCUUGAUUCUCCUUGAUUCGCUCGGGCCUGUUUCCGUAUUCGACGAUAGCUGGCGCUCGACCCUUGAUCGAUUCGCUCGACGCUAUUUCCGUCUUCGAGGCUGCGGCCGUUGAUGGCUGCGCAUAUGUAUGACCAGAGCGUCGAGUUGAUGGCCUCGACCUGCGUACGGAUAAUCUCAUUAUGUGCAUCGGUGAGGGUACCCCCUAUUGAUACCCUCGACAGUAGCCCCCGAGUCUCCAUUCGAGUGCUGGUGCUCGAGUGGAGGCUUUGUUUUGCGCUCGAAUUUCCGUGGGGGCGCGCGAGCGACCCCGCGGGGGUAGCCCCCGAGCCCUCGGAGGAGUUUUUGACUCCUUUGAGGGUUAUUUUGCCUAAUUUGCAGAAACGCUAUCGGCACCAGUGGAGGAAGGUUCUGAUUGGCUUGCUUUGCGCGGAGGUUUCGACGUACUCUCGAUAGAGCGAGCGUCUUGCACCCCAGAUUGAGUUCCUAGCGGGUAGUCCAAGUGAGAACCUGUGCCCCUUUCGAGGGGGUCAGCUGUAGCCCGGAGGCGUUCUCAUAAAGCAGGGUCGACGUGGUCAGGGGUACUGGUCUCAUUCGAUAGAGUCCAGUGGCUCGAUGCCUCCCGUCAGGGGGAUCCCUCUCGACUGUCUCGACCCUACCUUGGACAUCGCCAGCGAGUCUUCGAGGCGGGCCUCGAUCUUCGACCGCUCGCUGGGGAUCCCUGACUCCGAUGCUCGAGAUCGGCUGUCGAACCCUUUCAGUGGGCCAGCCUGCGACCUCUCGAGGCUUUCGCGAGUACGCCCCUUGACUUAUAAGGGAAGGAAGUGGCCGCGGCGGUUCGCCUUUUCGCCCGUUGGGCGCGCCUUUUCAGGUGGGUGACGUUACGACACUGCGUCGGCGUGGAAUUCGGAGCGCCCCGCCUGUGAGGGGGAAAAGACUGUUAGAUGGCGCAUUUAUGGGGGGAGUUACCUCAUUUCUCAGAUCUGUCUGUUGGCGGACUGCUGCCUAUAAAUACGCAGUGGCGCCGCUGCCGUUCUUUCUUCUUCCUUUCGCCUUCUUGCUUUCACCCUUUCGUUGCCUUAGCUCUCUUGCCGUCUUACGCGCGCGUGCACCCCCUCGAGCGAUAGCGAAUCCACCGUCCUUCCAGCCAAGAUGCCUGUGACACUCGUCGCCGCCGACGACUGGCGCCCGUCGUCGAUGACAGAGCACCGGUUGCUAGAGCUUGAGAGUGAGGGACUGUUGCGCCGCCGCACCUCGCUGUCGUCGCCAGAGUGGAUCGCACCGCCGGCGGGCCACAGGGAGCCCUAGCCGCCCGAGGGCUAUGUGGUGUCGUUCGCCAAGUUCCACCGCCACGGCCUGGGCGCUCCCCCGAGCCGCUUCAUGCGGGCCCUCUGCUUCCACUAUGGGGUGGAGCUUCAGCAUUUCUCCCCGAACACCAUCACCGUCGUGGCGGUCUUCGCCGCGGUGUGUGAGGGCUAUCUGGGGAUGAUGCCCCACUGGGAUCUGUGGCUCCACCUCUACAGGGGCGAGCUUUUCAACGCCCCCACCGGAACCACCGGCGUGAGGAAGCACGUGCGGGCCGGGUGCCUCAACCUGGUGUUGAAGACGAAGAAGACGGAGAGGCCGCGCGAGUACAUCCCGGUGGGGUUGUCAUCGAACCACGCCGGGUGGGACUCGCAGUGGUUCUACCUGAGGAACGACGACAGCCUCUUCCCUGCUUACAUCGGUCGUCUGAUUACGGAGCGCCCGGACAACUGGACAUACGGCGUUGUCCAGGAGCACCAGUCGCGGCUCGACCCCCUCCUCGACGCCAUGAAGAAGCUGCGCCUGGAGGGCUUGUCCGCCGCUCUCGUCCUCUCGGCCGUCCAUCGUCGAAGGGUCCUCCCUCUGAUGUCUCGGUCAUUGAGGAUGGACGAGAUGGGGUCGGGCGUUUCGUCCCGGGAUCUCGAGGCGUGCCGGAUGUCCAACGAGGCUCUGGCAGAUGAUGAGACCGCCGCCCGAGUUAGGGCGGCCAUCGCUGGUGACUUCAAGUCGAAGCACGUCAACGACUUCCCUAUGAGGCCCGACGAAGGCUCGAUCGACCUGGUACGCUCUUUUCUCGCACAUAACUCCCACUCUAGAUUCUCCUUGAUCCUUUUUAAACCUUCCUUUGUUCUGUUAGGGACGUAUUGAUGUCCGGUCCUCGAGGCCCCCUGUGAAGGAGGAUGAGGUGGAUCGCGACAGACGGCGCCAGUCCGCCGAAAAGCUGAAGUCCGCCAAGGACUCUGCAAAGAAAGGGGAGAAAAAGAAGAACCUCGACCGCCAAGCAUUGGAUGCGCGUCGAGCUAAAUCCAGGUAGAGGGGGGAGCCUGAGGAAGAAUCCCCCAGCGAAGAUGAUGACGACGACGAGGACAGCGAUGAUUUUGAGGGGAUGGCGUCUCGCCUUGACCGGAUCCUCGAGGGUCCGCCUCGAGGCGACGUCCAGGUCCCUCGGACGAAAGCUCCAAAGGAGGGUCCAAGCGGAUCUCACCGCCCUCGGGCCGACACCCCUCCCGCGCCCAUGGCUGGUCAGGUCGCGCCGCGCCCUCCCCCAGUGCCCAGGGGGGGUGGCCAUGCUAGGCCCCAGGCGACGGGGCCUCUGACUUGCGGUCGGGCCGCGGCCUCCGAGAAAAGAGAGGCCGGCCACAGGAGCGCCAGUCCCGGCGCUCGUCAAGCGGGAGUCAUUGCGCCAAGGCCAGCGCCUCUCCUCGAGGGGCCUAGAGCCUUGACACGGGAUGGCUUGAAGCCCACCGGUCGGGGUACUAGGAGGCGAGCUGUUCUCCCCGUGGGGUAAGCUUCUUCGUCGUUGUGAAAUUUGUUUUCCUGUUCCUCUGCAUUUUCUCACAUGCCGAUCUUUUUAUGCUCAUCCCUUUCUUUUCUCAGGCUAAAGCGGACACUCAAGCAGGCCCAGCCUUCCAUGGCGAAAAGGCUCAAGGCGGGAGCAGUUUCCAAGGAGUCAGGUUUGUGGCUCACUUUUGGUACUUGUGAUGUUCUCAUGUUGGUCGUCAUAGUGACCGGCCUCCAUUCUUUGUUUUGCAGGAUCCUCCGACUCUCGUCCUCCGGCUGACGCUGAGGGCGCCCUGUCUCGUCCCAAGCCUGCCCUGUCGCCGCCGACGCGGGUCGAGGCACCACAGACUCAGGGGCAAGAAGGAGCCCCCGAGCCCCCUCGAUUGGGGGUCGAGGCGGACCCCAUUACCAUCAGCGACACGUCUGGUGGCAACGAGAUGUCGGGGGAUGCCCACCCUAUGGAGGAGGAGGCGACGACCUCCCUCAUCGCGGGACGGACUCCUUGGCCCGCUGGUCUUCGCGCUCUCGAGGAGCAGAAGAAGAAAGAGGAGGAGGAUGAGGAGCGGGAGCACGAGGCAACAGGGCAGCCGCAGGAUCAGCAGCAGCAACAGCAGCAGCAGGAGGAACAGCAGCAGCAGCAAGAGCAGCAACAGCAGCAGCAGCAGCAGCAAGAGUAGCAGCAGCAGGAUCAGGGUGGCCAAAAGGAAGGACCAUUCGAGCCCCCGCCUCAAUGUCUGGCCCAACCAGUACCACCGGCGCCGCAAGAGCCCGGCGAGUAGGAGGAAGGUUUGCCGGUAUACGGCCCUCCAACCCCAGCGUGGAUCCUUCCGGGGGCGCCUGCCGCGAUACGGGCAGAGUCGGGGCGAGCGGACGGAGUGGUGGCACUUGCGUGCAUGAUGCGCACCCCCGCCGACCCCGAGUCCGAGAUCAGGAGGACGAUCUACGGCAUGGACGAGAUCGCCCCAGGGUUCCUCUGGGAGCGCCGGGCAUGGGAGGACCGCUUUCCCUCUAAGGAGGACGAAAUUGGGUCGUCGGGGAGUAAGGACAGUACCUAGAAGACGGUGGACGAUGAUGGGCGGUUCCCAUGCCUCGUCGACCUGUUCUUGCGCCAUGGGGGCUCCCUCGAGACCGUCGAGAACCUUAUCCGCGGCGUCAAGGCGCGGGCCGAUCGAGAAAUUGAGAACUGGUGCCCCGAUCAGAUUCGUAUCCGGGCUUCCACCGAUCCGUCCGAGCCCAACAUCUUCCUCGAUGAUAAAAAGGAGGCCGAGAAGUGGGAACAUGUCGAGGAGCUCCGCCUUUGGAUGAAGCACGUGGUGGGCUCCUGUCGGACAUCAUCAACAACGGGCUCGGGCCGGCUUAUUUUGUAAGUGCUUUUCGAUCUUUAACCCUCAUGGGGCCUUUUGGUUUUGCGUUCUAACCGUUCGACCCCCGGCUCGCAGGACAUGAAAGAGACCUCCCGCAUCAAGUCGAGCUUCAUUCACGCCACAAGAGGCGGCUGGGAGCAGCUCCCCGUCCUCAAGGACCAACUCCUCGAGUCGCAAGAAAAACUCCUUAAGGCCUAUAAAGACCUCAUAGCGCUCGGGGAGGAGAAGAAGGCGAGGGAGGCUGCCUUGGCCGAGGCUCGAGAAGCCUCAAGGAAGGCGGAGGAGGAAACGACGAUGCUACGGGAGCGGGCUCUGACGGUCGAGGAGGCCGCAUCCAGAGCUCGGGAGGAGGCCCUGUCCUACAAGAGCGUCAUUGCAGACCUGGACAAGGAGAAGGGCCUUCUCAAGACUGACCUGGACUCCCUUCAAGAGUCCUUUCAAAAGAUGAAGGUGGAGCACGUGAACGGCGAGAUCGCCAGGAGCGCCACGGAGGAAGCCAAGAAGAAGGCCCUCGAAGAUCUCGAAGCGGAGCGGGCUCGAUCCCGCAGGCUCUCUGAUGACGUCGAACGUCUGAAGGGAGAGCUGUUGGAGAAGAGUGGGGCUAUUGCUCAGGCUGGCAAGGCGAUCGAGGAUCUCCGCAUUACCAACACUGAGCUGACCCGCUCCAACAGAGAGAUCGAGAGGGCCAACACCAGACUAGUCGGCGAGAACACGGCCUUGGAGGAGAGUGUUCGCGGUAUGUUUCCUUUGUCGGAUUUCUUUUUUGGCGUGUGCUUGGUUUUCCCUAAAGUUUCUUGUAUUGGUAUUUACAGGGCUUAAGGACGAACUCCUAAUCGCCCAAGCCGAGGCCCGUAAUGUUAAGGCCCAGCUCGAGGCGGAGGUUGCUUAUCACCGUCGCGUGCGGACGGCGAUAAACGACCUUUCGACCUCCUGGGAGGUCGAGCCUGUGGACGAGUCGAAGGAGGACGCUCGAGGCGACGCACUGGUCGACCAGCUGUGCUACUUAGGCGCGACGCUGAGAGAUCGGGUGCGGGAUGCCCUCCACAUCGGGGUGAAGCGGGCGAUGGCGGUUGUCUGCUCUGGCUUCUCCUACGACAUGGAGGUAGUGUCCCAUGGCUUCGUCACCGACAUCUCUAAGACCGACGCGGAGAACGAAGAGAGGCUCCAUGCCUUGAUUGAUGACGCGGAGGCUCCUGGAGAGAGGCUGGCCAAGUUAUUUGAGCCUGAGGUGCUUCUUCCUGAGACUAGCUCGGGCGGAGGCGAGGGUGGUGAGGAUCGUGCCAUGGACUGAGGCCUGCGAGCCUGCUCAGGGUGCCUGGGGCCCCUUGUAUAAUACUUUAUUAAUUCUGUUUUUGAGCGAUACAGUAACUUUUGGUAAUUGUUAAAUGUUUAUUUGUCUUUCCGCUCGAGGUUCUUUUAUUUCUCUUUGUGCCAACGUAUGUGUUCCUUGUUCGAUUUUUCGUAAAAGACAGCUUCGAUUACCUCGAGGGUGAGGGAGUGAGUAGAGUUUCCAUAGCCCGGGGGCAUAGGAGUUCCCAGGCUCGUUAUCCCUCGGCCCCUAAGGGGUUCGAGGCGCCUUAACUACUUGAUCAUGCAAGGUUUACUAAGUAAGAGAUAAAUUUUUGGCUUUUUUCGACACUUGGGGGGGUCGCCCCCCUGGUAGCCCCCGAGGGGGUGUUGACUAUGAUGGGUCAUAGUCGGCGCCCCCUUCUAACGUCGAGAUUAUGACUUGUAAAGCCUUGGUACAAAAAGAAGUUGCUCGAGGGAAAGACUUCAUCUAUUCAUACAUUCGUUUACAAAGUCUCGGUACAAAAUAUACGUAGGAACAUAAAGUUUUGAACUUCUAGGGGUAGAAUCGACGUAGCUGUUCGAUGUUCCACGCGUUGGUGAAGACCGCCCCCUUCUCAUCCGCUAACUUGUACGUUCCCGGCUUUAAAACCUCGGCCACCACGUAUGGGCCUUCCCAAGGCGGAGUCAGCUUGUGGCGUCCUUGAUUGCUUUGCCGUCAUCGCAGAACAAGGUCGCCCACGUUUAAGUCCCUCUUGUGCACGUGCUUGUCGUGGUAACGUCGAAGUUUUUGCUGAUAUCUGGCAGAGUUGAGGAGGGCCAUGUCUCGAGCCUCCUCGAGUUGGUCGACCGCGUUUUCUUGAGUCUCCUUAUUUGAUUGCUCAUUGUACGCUUUGAGUCGAGGGGACCCAUACUCGAGGUCUGUGGGGAGGACAGCCUCAGAGCCGUAUACCAUGAAGAAUGGGGUGAAUUUUGUGGCCCUGCUCGGUGUUGUCCUUAGGCUCCAAAGGACCGAGGAAAGUUCCUCGACCCAUUUCUUUCCGAAUUUCUUCAAGUGAUUGUAGAUCCUUGGUUUGAGUCCUUGUAGAAUCAUGCCGUUGGCACGCUCGACCUGGCCGUUAGUUCGAGGGUGGGCUACUGCCGACCAGUUCACACGGAUGUGAUGCUGAUCGCAGAAGUCCAAGAACUUUUUGCCGGUGAACUGAGUGCCGUUGUCGGUGAUGAUGACGUUGGGAAUCCCAAACCGGUGGAUGAUGUUGGUGAAGAAAAGGACGGCCUGCUCGGAGCGGAUGUUGGCGAUGGGUCGAGCCUCGAUCCACUUGGAGAAUUUGUCGAUAGCCACCAGCAAGUGGGUGUACCCUCCUUUCGCCUUUUGUAGGGGCCCUACUAAGUCGAGCCCCCAUACCGCAAAUGGCCAUGUAAUGGGGAUCAUCUGAAGAGCAUGGGCGGGCAAGUGCGUCUGUUUGGCGUAGAACUGGCACCCGUGACAUGAGCGCAUGAGCUCGAUGGCAUCUGCUAUGGCCGUUGGCCAGUAGAAGCCUUGUCGAAAAGCGUUCCCUACGAGGGUCCGUGGAGCAGCGUGGUGGCCGUAAGACCCUGAGUGUAGGUCCUCGUGGAGUUUCCGCCCUUCUUCCAUGGUGAUGCAACGCUGCAAGACACCCGUCGGGCUUCGUCGGUAUAGCUCAUUGCCUUCGCCGUAUAUCACAUAUGACUUGGCCCGUCGAGCGAUACGACGGGCUUCAGAUCGAUCUUCUGGCAGCUCGCAGCGGAUUAGGUAGUCGAGGAACGGUGUGCGCCAGUAGAACGGUCGAUUGGGCCGCCGUUCUACCUCCAUCACCUCAGCUGCCAUCAAUAGUGCGUUGACGGUGUCGGUUGGCUGGGCGGAAGCGGCAUCAAUGCCAGCCCCCGAGCCCAAGUCGACGGAUGGCUCGUGAAGAUCUCUUGAGAACGCGUCGGGCGGUACCGUGCCUCGGGUCGACGCGAUCUUGGUGAGUUCGUCGGCUGCUUUGUUGUAGCAUCGGGCGACAAGGACGAGCUCGAGGCCAUGGAAUUUGUCCUCGAGUCGACGGACUUCUUUGCAGUACGCCUCCAUUUUCGGGUCGUGGCAGCUUGAGGUCUUCAUUACUUGAUCGAUGACGAGUUGGGAGUCGCCUCGGACGUCAAGGCGUCGGACUCCUAGCUCGAUGGCGAUCUUGAGACCGUUGAUGAGGGCCUCGUAUUCUGCAACAUUGUUGGAUGCAGCAAAGUGAAUCCUGAUGACGUACCUCAUAUGGACGCCCAAGGGCGAAAUGAACAGCAGGCUGGCCCCGGCCCCCGUUUUCAUGAGUAACCCGUCGAAAUACAUCAUCCACAGCUCCGCCUGGACCUGAGUCGGGGGAGCUGGGAGUCUGUCCAUUCCGCGACGAAGUCUACCAGGGCUUGCGAUUUGAUGGCCUUGCGAGGCGCAUAGGUGAGAGUCUCACUCAUAAGCUCGACCGACCAUUUAGCUAUUCUUCCCGUGGCCUCCUUACUCUGGAUUAUCUCGCCCAGGAGGAAAGACGAGACCACCGUGAUGGGGUGACCGAGGAAGUAGUGUUGUAGCUUGCGGCGUGCGAGGAUUACAGCAUAGAUCAGCUUCUGAAUUUGGGGGUAACGUGCCUUGGUCUCCGAGAGUACCUCGCUGACGAAAUAGACCGGCCUCUGGACUGGCAAUGCAUGCCCCUCCUCCUGCCUUUCAACCACCACCGCCGCACUGACAACCUAGGUCGUCAAAGCAACGUAAAGGAGCAGUGGUUCCGCAGGCUGAGGUGGGACCAGGACUGGUGCUGAGGUUAGCGUUUUCUUCAGACUUUCGAGGGCUUCCUCGGCCUCGGGGGUCCAAGAGAAACGCUCGACCUUCUUUAGAAGUCGAUACAAUGGCAACGCCUUUUCUCCUAGUCUUGAGAUAAAUCGACUCAACGCUGCUAGACAUCCGGUGACUCUCUGCAUGCCCUUGAUGUCCCGAAUCGGCCCCAUUCUUGUGAUGGCCGCGACUUUCUUGGGGUUGACCUCGAUCCCGCGCUGGGAAAUGAUGUACCCUAGGAGCAUGCCUCAAGGCACGCCGAAAAUGCAUUUCUCGGGAUUGAGCUUGAUCUGGUUGGCCCGUAAGCAGCUAAAAGCGAUCUCGAGGUCCUGGAUCAGGUCUCCUCGCCGUUUUGAUUUGACGACAAUGUCGUCGACAUAGGCCUCGACCGUCGAGCCUAUGUGCUUGCCAAACACGUGGAGCAUACAGCGCUGGUAUGUGGCUCCCGCGUUUCGAAGCCCGAAUGGCAUGGUUACAUAGCAAUACAGCCCAAAAGGUGUGAUGAAAGAGGUCGCGAGCUGGUCGGACUCUUUCAUUUUUAUUUGAUGGUAACCAGAAUAUGCAUCAAGGAAAGAAAGGGUUUCACAUCCCGCAUUAGAAUCGACAAUCUGAUCAAUACGUGGUAAUGGAAAAGGAACUUUCGGACAUGCUUUAUUUAGACUUGUAUAAUCGACACACAUCCUCAUUUUCCCAUUCUUUUUCUUAACUAAUACAGGGUUUGCUAACCAGUCGGGAUGAUGAACCUCCUUGAUGAAUCCAGCCGUCAAAAGCUUGUGGAUUUCCUCGCCAAUGAUCUUGUGCUUCUCCUCGUCGAAUCGGCGCAACCGCUGCUUCACUGGCUUGAAACCGGGUCGAAUCUCCAAGGAGUGCUCGGCGACUUCCCUCGGUAUGCCUGGCAUGUCCGAGCGACUCCAUGCGAACAUGUCGGCGUUCGCACGGAGAAAGUCGACGAGCACAGCUUCCUAUUUGGGGUCGAGAUUGGCGCUGAUCGUCAGCACCUUGCCGUCGGAGUCGUUGGGGUCGAGCGGGAUCUUCUUGGUUCCUUCUGCCGCCUCGAAGUUGCCCGCGUGGCGCUUGGGCUCUGGAGCCUCAGCGGCCAGGGCUUCGAGCUUUGCGAUGAGCUCGGUGGAGUUAUCGACCGCCUCCCCAUACUAGACGCACUCGAUGUCGCACUCGUAUGCAUGCUCGAAGGAGGAGCUGAUAGUGAUGACGCCUUUGGGGCCUGGCAUCUUCAGCUUCAAGUAGGUGUAGUUGGGUAUAGCCAUGAAUUUGGCGUAGCCCGGGCGCCCGAUGAUGGCGUGGUACGUGCCCCAGAACCCGACCACCUCAAAGGUGAGGGUCUCCUUCCUAAAGUUGGCUGCCAUGCCAAAGCAGACCGGUAGGUCGAUCCGACCUACUGGCAGCGCCUUUUUCCCCGGCACGACGCCGUGGAAACCACCGGCGCUUGGUUGAAGCCGUCCCCUAUCGAUGCCGAGGAGGUCGAGUGUCUCAAGGUAGAUGAUGUUGAGGCUGUUGCCUCCAUCCAUUAGCACCUUUGAGAGCCGGGUGUUGACGAUGAUGGGGUCGACGACGAGCGGGUAGACGCCUGGGGCAAUCACCUUGUCGGGGUGGUCCUCUCGGUCGAAGGUGAUGGGUGUGCUCGACCAGCUGAGGUACUGGGGCACCGCCAUUCUCGCCGCGAAGACCUCACGACGUUCCUUUUUGCGCUGCCUCGUGAUCAACUGUGUCGAGGGCCCACCAUAGAUCAUGUAGCAAUCGUGGACGGCAGGGAAACCAUCGUCGUCAUUGCUGCCCUCCUUGUCGCCGCCCUUCUCCUUCUUGGGGUCGUCGCGCGUGUCCUUUCUGAACCCCAGGCCAUCGAAAUGCUUUUUCAGCAUACGACAGUCCUUGAGCCUGUGGUUGGCUCCUCCUUUAUGGUAAGGGCAUGGUUCCUCUAGCAUCUUAUCGAAGAUACCUCCAUCUGGGAGACCUCGAGGCUUCUUCCGCUCCAUGGCGGCGACAAGGUCGUCGUCGAAGUUCUCCUGCUUGAACUGCCGCGCUUUCUGCUUCUUCUUGUUCUUCUUGGGCCCUCGACGGGGGGGCUCGUCUUCAUCGGUAGGUUGCUUGCCUUUCCUUCCCUCACAACUGAAGAAGGCGCCGACUGCCUCCUCCCCUGCUGCGUAGUUUGCCACUACGUCCAUUAGCUCAUCGACGGUCUGAGGGCGAUUCCGGCCCAAUUCUCGUACCAGGUCUCGACUGGUGGUACCAGAGACGAAGGCCAGGAUGACGUCAUGGUCGGGGAUAUGUGGCAACUCGGUGCGCUGCUUUGAGAAGCGUCGAGCAUACUCUCGAAGAGUUUCUCCUGACUUCUACUUGCAUUUGCUGAGGUCCCACGAGUUCCCGGGCCGUAUGUAGGUCCCUUUGAAAUUACCCUCGAAGACUUUAACCAAAUCGACCCAGUCGUGGAUCUGAUUCGCUGGAAGUUCCUCGAGCCAUCGACGGGCGGUGUCGGAGAGGAACAGUGGUAGCUGUCUGAUGAUGGCUCGAUCAUCUCCUCGAGCGCCUCCUAGCUGACAGGCCAGCCUGAAAUCGGCCAGCCAUAACUCUGGUUUGGUCUCGCCAUUGUAUUUCGCGAUGUUGGUCGAGGGUCGGAAUGGACUAGGCAGGGGUGUGCUGCGGAUUGCCCUGCUGAACACCCGUGGACCUGGUGGCUCGGGAGCCACCCGGUCGUCGUCGCUGUCGUACCUUCCACCGCGAUGUGCGCUAUAACCGCGUUCUUCCGCAUCCCCGUACCGACGGCGUCGAUUUUCUUUGAUGUCAUGCCGUGCGUCGUGUCGACGCUGAUUGUCGACAGGGAGGGCGAGAGUGGUCUUUCUUCCUCGAGGGGGUGGUUGUUGAUGGACUGACACCUCCUUUUCAUUUUGGGGCGGCUCAUCAUGCUUUUCAGUUGCAGCUCCUCAUCGUCGAGAAGCCGAGCUUUCAGCUUGUUGAACCGCCGCUACCUGGAGCAGAGUCUGUACCUCGUCUCGAAUGCGUCGAGCUUGGGAGUUCGAUGGCUCCGGCAUGUUGCACAGUAGCAUUGUCGCCGCCACUACAUUCUAGCCUGCUCAAGGGAAACGGCUGAGAGGCUGCUCUGGUUCUGCGUCUCCGACGAUUUGUCGAUGUACCUCUCGAGCGAGUCUGCGGACACUUCCGCCCGGCGGGUAGGGCAGGUCUUGCUCAAGGAUUUGCUCGAGCAGGACGAGGCGCUCACGGUCUUCGUCAAGCUUCAUCUUGAGCUCCCGUAGCUGUGCAAGCUGCGCAGCCCUGUCUUCCUGUGGAGGGGGGUCGACCUGUCCGUCGUUCCCAGGCGUCCUGGGGUCUUCCCGUGCUGCAGGGGCUCGACCGCCCGCAGCAGCAUCCUGCGUCUCGUCUGUAGUUUCUACUGCCCCGUCGACGUGAUAGCAUUCCCUUGUAGGGUCGUAGCUAUCAGUCUCGGAGUCGGAGUCCGGCUCGGCAGCGUAGAAACAUCCACGUCCCUCUUCCAGCAGCCGCUGCCUGAGUGAGGUGAUCGUGUAUCGCCCAGGGCCUAGGCGGCGGAGGCCUCGCACCUGAGAGAAAUCCGACAGUUCGGACGUCGGUCGUAGUGCUUCAGAGUCACGUGGGAGGACCAUUGGUCUCUCCACGUACGUCUGGGCGUUUGGGCAUAUUGCUCUGGUGAGCGACGCCAUGACGUUGUCCAAUCCGAAUGGCAGUGCCCUUCUUGGAGUGAACAACCCGUGUGGAAGCAGCUUAGCAGCGGUGGGGGAGGGCGCGCGAGACACGUCCCCUCCCGUCGUCGUGCGGUGUUGAGCCGUCGUGCCCGCGGUUCCGGCACAUGGUGCUGCCGGCACAUGGCCCACCUCCUGCCUCGCACGAGUUGCCGGUCGUGAUGAGGCAGAGGGGCGGCGGUGGUGCUGUCCGCGCCUCUUCUUGGGCGGGGAGGCGUGGUGGCGAGGGCGUCUCGGGGCCCUCGACCGUGCUGGUGCAACGCGGGCUCCUCCUAGAUCUUUGACUGAGAGCAAGAUCAUGUCGUAGCCGGAGCCCGUGGACAUGAACUCGAGACUCCCAAACCAAAUCAUCGUGGAGUGCGGAAUCGGCGAGGCGAGAGUAGCCAUCUGGGAAGGAGUGGGAAAUCGAUGAAAAAACACGCAGGGCCCCUACCUGGCGCGCCAACUGUCGGUGUUUUCCCCCCGGGAGGUCACACCAACAAGUAAAUUUGUAUGCAUGCUCCCGUUCCCAGAUAGUGAUGCAAGAAGACACAAAGAUUUAUCCUGGUUUGGGCAAGAGAAAGCCCUACGUCCAGCGGGGGAAGUUUGUAUUAUCUUACACCGAAGUGCUUGUACAGGGGCGAAUACAAGCGUGGUAUGAAGUAUGGGAGUUCUACUGCGUAUGGGCGUGGUGUUGCCUCACGUGUUGUUGUCUAUCUAUUCCUGAGUCCUUCCUUUUAUAGCACCAAGGAGAGACCCAGGGUACAUGUAUAGGUGUCAGAGUAGGGGUCGAUAGAAGCAUGGAGCGCUGACCUACUCGAGGCUUCCGUACCGGCGUAGCCUCGAGCCGUCCCAUCUUGGUAGCCUGGUAAUGAUUACGCGUGCCCCUGCAUCCUGCUAUGCGCGCCGUCUUGGGCUGGUUCAACGGUCGCACGCUUGUACGGCAUGGCGGCAGAUCCGGCAAGGUGGUUGUGGUGUUGUCAGUCGACGCCCAACUCGUCUUCAGGAAGGAACCGUGUGUGGUCGAGGGUCGGACGUCGUGCAAUGCCCUAUUACCCGGAGCGCUGACCUUGGUUGCCUCAAGGGAGUACCGAUUGGACGUUCCAUCCCUAUUUCCCGCGUCCUGACACGCCCUGGGCCGUUUGGUGGGCAAGGCUGCAAAAAGAACGACGGGACGGGUGCCUGUUAUCACGCCUCCCGUGACCAGUGUGUUAGGUGGGAAUGCGGCGGGCGCGUUAAAUGUCCUGGCUCUCGUGCGCGCGUCAGGCGGCGGACAGUGUCCUUGCGCUCGAUGCUCCUUGAUUUGCUCAGGCCUGUUUCCGUAUUCGACGAUAGCUGGUGCUCGACCCUUGAUCGAUUCGCUCGAUGCUAUUUCCGUCUUCGAGGCUGCGGCCGUCGAUGGCUGCGCAUAUGUAUGACUAGAGCGUCGAGUUGAUGGCCUCGACCUGCGUACGGAUAAUCUCGUUAUGUGCAUCGGUGAGGGUACCCCCUAUUGAUACCCUCGAUAAAUGCCAUCUUCUCCACAAGAGUUGUAGCUUGUGAUAUGGUGAGUGAUAGGAAUGCUCCUCCAGCUGCAGCAUCCAUGGUUUCUCGGGCACUGUUGCCGAGCCCAUGAUAAAACGUCUACAUUAGUAGCCAGCUCUCCAUUCCAUGAUGGGGACAUUCUAGGAUGUAGUCUUCAAAGUGCUCCCAUGCUCCUAGAAUAGAUUCAUUAUGUUGUUGCUGAAAACUUGUAAUUUUCCCACGGAGAGCAUUGGUCUUGUGUAUGGGAAAGAACUUAGCUAGAAAGUUCGUGAAGAAGAGUGCCCACAUAGUAUUCUUCUCCUUUGUAGCGUAGAACCACUGCUUCGCUCUUCCUAAGAGUGAGAAUGGGAAGAGGCGAAGUAGUAUAGCAUCUCUGGGGACUCCUGAUAUGGUGAAUGUGUUGCAAAUCUCCAGGAAGUGUUGGAGAUGAGCACUAGCAUCUUCGUGUGCCUUCCCACAGAACUGGUUGGAUUGCACCAUGUUGAUAAGACUAGGCUUGAGCUCAAAGUUGCCAUCGGUCUCAGCAGCAGGUCCAGUACGGAUGUUAUCCGUAGUGGGAGCUGAGAACUCGCGGAUCGAUUUGUUCGCCAUGACUUUGAACUCUGAAGACAAGUUUCGGGUGAAACUUCAGUGAUCUUCUUGAUUGGAUGAAGCUUCUUGCUGAAGUGUUGAUGAUCUCUUCUUGAGCUUGGCUCUUGUUUUUCUAAAUAACACUUCGGGAUUGUCAACAAAAUUUCCUGGAAGAUGUCUUCUAUUCAUACAUUACCCUGCAUAAGAUAAAAUGCUUGUUGGGAAUUCUAAAUAAAAAGUAGACUUAGUUUUCUAAUUCUGAUAAUGGCGCCAAAAAUGCCAAACCUAUCCCUCAUGCCGACCUAAAGGAUCAAGGAUAACCGUUCAAUCAUUGUCGGUUUGAUCCGAUGGCCCAGAUUCACUUGAAGGGACUAUAUAAGCAGACCCCCUGGCCCCUGGAGGAGAGAAUUUCAUCAUAGAGUUGAGAGGAGCCCUCGAAGGAAUACCUCUCCUCUAAAUAGACUUAGGGCUUAGCAUCCAAUUCGAGUAGAAUUAGAUCUUCUAGUUUCUACUAGAUUGAGAGAGAUAGAGUGGAGGUGUAGAUCGGAGGAAGCCCGGCCUAUCGGUGUCUACUCCGAGGUUGUACCUGCGGGAUCAAGUUCUCCUAACCCGAAGCUUGCUCUUAGGAUUCUUCAGUAUUUUGACUUGUAAUACUAGUAAGUUCUUGUUUUAUUGUUCUUUGGUUUAUGAGUUUACUUUAAUCUCUUCGCAUAGAGUUUAGAGUAAUCAUCUCUAGCGUAGACGUGGUGUUUGGGCUAGAAUACUCAUAGAUAUUCCCUGACUAGCUGGACCGUGGUAGUAAUGAGGAACGUGACAUUUCCGAGUUACCUUUGCAGACCAUAUCUCGUUAGCAGGAAGGAUAGGGUUUAUAGGUGCGGGUUGAACAUCCUUUGUUGUGUCUAGAUUCCGUAAGCUUCCCCAAUAGAACAGUAGAUCAUCCUUACCAAGGUUAGAACGAGAUUACGAUUGUAGUCUUCUCUAUACAUCGCUCACAUCGAGAAACAUUCUUUGUAGCCUAAAGGGUAGUAGCAAUAGAUUUGGUUAUUCAGAUGCACGCUUUCUCCCAGUGGUAAAAAUAUAAAUACGAUACUCUGGAUAACCUCCCAGGUGAAGUGCUCACCGAUAUCCGUGCGCUUGCGGAUCAUUUCCUGAUGGCGUUACCAAAUAUCAACAAGCAUUUCUGGCGCCGUUGCCAGGGAGAAAGACGGUUUGCUGAGAUAACUUUAUGUCUUGCUAUUAUCUUGUAUUAUACUUUUAUAUUUUUAUUCUUUUAUCUUUUUAUUUUUUCCAUCUUUGUGGAUAACUUAAAUUCCACACCUAUUAUUGAAUUUUUUGCACCUUCGGAGACCAGCCAUAGACCAUGGGAGUCAACAAGUCCUUUCUUUGCCCCUACUUAUGAUCGGUGUCCGGAGUUGAUUGCAAUAGGUCUAAACCAACCCUUUUUUAUAGCUGAGGUCCUAUCUUUUAAUCAAGAAGAUAAUGAACUUUUAGCUACACCUAGGGAAUCUGUUAAUCUUUCUAUAAAUUCUGGUUUAAACCUAGGCCUACAAGACCAUGUUUUUUCUCAAUAUUUUCACAUUGGUCUUAAUCAUCUAACCUUUGGUAGAGUUUUUCUUUCUUUAUCUGUUAGUAAAGCAAGGUAUGUCUUCAUUCGUGGACAUCCUUCUUACACUAGUCUUCAUAAAAAAUUCCUAGAGAUAGAGAAGGAAUCAUCUCCCAGACAAGGAAAGGAAGUUUCAAUAUCCGAUUUCCAAACAUUUCAAUCCCAUGAUUCGGCUAUCCAACCCAUCCUUGAGCUUAAUAAUUUCUACUUUGCUCUUUCUCUUGAACCUCCCGAUGAUCCUAUGAAUCUCUCUAGCCAUCCCAUGCAUAAGAGUCACCAAGACCACAAGGAGGAUCGAGAAGAGCAACAUCAAUGGCUAGAGGGCAUUAAAAAUCCAUGUGCUAUCACCAUUGAAUGGAUAGAUAAAACAAACUUGAGAGACAAUCCUAGAGGAAUUUUAAGCAUUCAUGAAGAAUCAUCCUUGGAGUUUGAGAAUGAGAGAAACAACAGUGAGCAUGGAAGUUAUUUCAUAAAUACCUCACCAAGUCCUUGCUCAUAUAAAACAUCUCCCCAAUCAAUUGGUCUCUCCAACCUUACCACAUUUGAGAUCUCCAACCCCCUCUUCCUUUCUAUUUAUAAAAACUUUAAAAGGGCAGUUGUCGAUGCAUAUGUCUAUAAUAAAUAUUGUAGAUCUCGUUGAGUUGAUCUUGAUAUAGGUCAGCGUUGGAGGGGAAACCACGUCGCCGACAUAAUUUGAUGGUUUCCCAAGGACAAGCUUAGUGUCCUAAAACAAGCACUUAUCAGAUCAUAACAUGAACUUUUAAUUAUUUGCAACAUUGCCUUGUGCAUUGAGCAUAUAAAGAUAAUUGUAAAAAUAUUUCUUCGGGUAUUCUUGUCACUAACCUUUCCAGGAUUGGAGAAAGAAGUUCAGAUGAAUGACAAGCACAAGGUAUGUCCAACCAAUCAUCAUACAACAUUGAAUUAAAUUCAGCCAAACUUGAAUUUCGCAAAAUUCAAGCUUGGAGAAGUACUUUACAUAAAAACAUCAUUUGCCAUGUUGCUAUGUUGGUUGUCCCUACCUUUGAGACAUGCUCAAUUGAUUAAAUACUAAUCACACUACUUCAUCUCCACUUGAGUAGAUCUCUAUAAAUGCUCUCAUGCUACAUUUAUUUGCUUUAGUAUAUGUCUAGGUUUGGAGUAGUUUCAUUUAUCUCUUAAUUAAGCAUGGUGCUUAGGUUAAAAUGUCCUCCUAAAUCAAAUUAGACAUGGUGUCUAGGUUGAUUUUUGAGCCGAUAGUAUGCUAUAGUAGAUAUGAGAUAUUUUGUUGGACUAACCCCUCUGAAAGGUCCUUGUUUGGUUUUGGUAAUUGAGUGACAACUUAGGUGGACUAAUAGUGUUUAUGUGAGAUAAACAGGAGAUUAGUCCACAGGUGAUUAUGUGAUGAUGAAGGAGCUCAUUGCAUAUGAGACAUGACAUGGAGUCAUGUGACCAAGGUGGAGAAGAUCAAGAUGAGGCUUGGCUCGACGGACUGUUUACAAGAGUGAAGGGCAAGUCGGAGGCUUUGAAGCGAGGGACCGUGUGUGACGGUGAAGCUUGAGCAAGACUUGGCACCGAUGGACCAAGGCAAUGGAGAAGAGCAAGUGAGGUCAAAAUCGAUGAACCAAUACGGUCACGUGAUGAUAUGAAUUGGAUCAUAUCAUUUGGUGAUUGGUUGGCGCAUGUGUUGCGUCAACAUUGGAGGAGAUGGAAUGGAAUGCGCAAGGCAAAGGUAUAACCUAUAGGGCAUUUCAUUUCACCGGUCUAAGUUAAGUAGAGAAGUGCUUGACCGGAUUUAGGAUAGAUAACCGUACUAUAAAGAGGGGAAAUCUUUAAUUGCAAUGGUUAUCUAGUGCCACUAAGUGUGAAGUCUCAUUUGCAUAUACCUAGCGCUUAGUGACGUGGUGAGUUGCAUGAGAAAGCCUAUAAAAAUGAUUGUGAAAUGCUAACACACAUGCACAUGGUGGUGUACACUUGGUGGUGUUGGCACAUUUGCAAAGGAGAAGGUGUUGGAGUUGAUUUUGAUCAACUUGGAGAAGAGAGAGAGGCUUUUCGGUGUUCUCCGGACAUUAGGAUGGCUUUUAGAUUGAAAUACUGCUUUGAUUCAUUAUGAUUUGGAUUGAGUAUCCAUAUGGAUUGUAUAGCCCUCUGAGUAAGCUUUCCGAAAUGUCCAAGAUCAUCGAAUUCGGAGUUCGGAGCUAAAAGUUAGCAUCCUAACAAGUUUUGAGUUGGUGCUGAGAAUGCAGGACCGGAAGUUCCGGUGGGACUUCCGGUGGUACUUCCGGUAACUGACCGGAAGUUCCGGUCAGCCUGACAGGAAGUUCCGGUUGGGCUGUGAGAGGUGCGCUCGCGUUUGAGAAAACACUUCCGGUGUCUGACCAGAAGUUCCGGUCAAUGACCAGAAGUUCCGGUCCAUAACGGGAAGUUCCGAUCCAUGAACGAAAGACCGCUGAGGAGCCUUUGCACAUGCCCUCGCGCAUCAGGAUUCACUUCCGGUGUUUGACCUUAAGCUCCAAUGGAACUUCCGGUGGGUCCGAGUCUCUCACAACGGUCAAAUCUGGUUGGCCACAACGGUCAGAUCUGCUUGGACCGAGGCUCCAACGGUCAAAUCUGGUCGGACCGGAAGUUCCGGUCCCAAGCACCGGAACUUCCGGUGGUACUCUAUAAAUACCGUUUGGAGCGCGAGCUGAGUAGAUGAGGGAGCCUUUUUAUUCUUCCUACUCUUCUCUCUACCCAUUUGGAACACAAGGAAGUUAGGGUUCCUCCUCUCCUCUUUCUCUCCCAUGGAUUUGAGCUAAGAUUUCUUGGAGAGAUUGAGAGCCCUUUGUGGGUGUGGAUGAGAGGUUGAAGAUCCACCCUUUCCCCCUCCUCUCCCUCUCAUGCUUGGUGCUAUUUUGAGUGAGGGAGUGAGAGCCUAGUGUGUGCAUUUGAGUUUUGCAUUUGGUGGCACUAGGAAAUCUUUAUGGUUGGGGAUUUCUUGUUACUCUUGGUGAUUGCCAUCACCUAGACGGUUUGGUGGAUUGUGACUCCGUUUGAAGCACGCAAGAAGAUUGUGCGGUGCUCCGGAGGAGGUUUUGUGAGGGGUACGGUGCUCAGCCCGCGGGGAUCGCAAAGAGCAACUCUAUUGGAUUGUGCGUGUCAUUGAGCUACCUCACUUGUGGGUAGGUUCUUGCGGUGUCCUAGUGAGGACGAGGUUCGUGUAACACCUCUUAGCCGCCGAACCACCAAGUGUUGGUCGACACAACGGGGACGUAGCUUGGUGGCAACCAAGUGAACCUCGGGAGAAAAUCAUCAUGUCAACUUUGUUCUUCCCGUUGGUUUGCAAGUCCCUAACACAAGCUUGUAUUUACUUUCAUAUUUUUGUGCUUGUGUAGUUGCUCAUGUAAUUAGUUAGCUUGUGUAGCUUGCUAGUUACCUUCUUGCUUGUGUAGCUAGAAGUAGUUCCCUUGCGUGACUAAUUUGGUUUGUGUAACCUUGUUAGUCACAUUGCUUAGUUUGUGUAGCUAAGUAAUUUGCGCUCUCUAAUUUUGCAUUGGUUGCCUUGUUUUUGAGCUUGCUAGUGAGCUUAGGCUUUGUGCGCUUUGCCUCACUAGUUUGUGUAGGAGCUCCCCCGGUUUGCAAAGUACUAGUUGCAUAGGUUUGUGUGACCUUGCUCCUAGAAUUGAUUAGGUGAGCUCUUGCUAAGGUAGCACCUUGCUUGCUUGUUUAGGAUAUUUUCAAGGUGCUAGAGAACUUAGAUAGAGGGGUGUAGUCUUGGCUAGACUGAUAGUUUUUAAUUCCGCAUUUGUUUCGGUUAGCCGGCGCGAUAAGUUUUAGAAAGGACUAUUCACCCCCCUCUAGUCUGCCAUCUCGACCCUUCAAGUGGUAUUAGAGCUAGGUCUCUCAUUUGUGGUCUUCACCGACCCGAGAGGAUGGCGUCUAGUGGGAUAGAUGAUUGUGAGACACACAUUUUUGAUGGUACAAACUUUGCACUUUGGAAAAAUCACAUGCUUGAUCAUUUUCGUGCAAAAGGACCUAAAUUUUGGUGGGUUAUCACUAAUGGUCUUACACACAACUUGGACCAUAAGAAUCUCACCAAAGCUCAAAAGGUUCUCUUUGAACUUGAUUGUGAAGCUUAUGAUUAUCUAAUAGAAUCUUUGAGCUUUGAGUUGUUUGAUAGUAUAAACUCUAAAGGAACCGCUUAUGAAAUGUGGGAGUCUAUCAAACACACCUUCGGUGAUUUCUCCACAUGGGAUGAUGGCAAGUUCAAAAGGGAGGAACCAAAGGUGGAGAUACAUGAGGUUGUUGAGCAUGAUGACAACAUGGUGGUUGUGGAGGAUUGCUCCACCUCAUGGUCAAGUGAUCGUGAUGAUGAUGCUACCAUAAGAUCACUUGACAAGGACGAUGAUGACGCCACAAGUGAUGCAACCGAUGAUGCUACUCCAUGCACACUUGAUGGUGAAGAUGAUGGCUAUGAGAGUGAUGCUUCCACAAGCUCAUCUACUACAUCACCACAUUGCUUCAUGUCACAUGGUGACACUAAGGUAUCUAUUGGUGAUGUGAUUAUUGAUUAUGAUGGUCCAAAUUUUGAGCUUGUAUGCAAACUCUCAAAAGCUUUAAGAAAUGAGUUGGCAAAAACAAGUAAAUUGAAAUUUGAAAACUCAUUUCUAAAGACCGCAUGUGAACAACAAAAAUAUCUACUUUAUGUUACUAAUUGUUCACAUGAGGAGCUAAAAUUGGCUCAUGAGGAACUUUGUGUUGCUCAUGAAAACUUGGUACAAGACCAUGCUUUACUCACUAUGAAGCUUUCUAAUGAAGAAACUAAAACUAGUGAGAGCUCAUCAUUUGGGUCAAAUGAUCAAUCACAUAUUGUUACUAACCCUUGUGAUGUAGGCAAGAAGUAUGUAUCCACCUCUUGUGAUGAUUUAUUAUCUAUGCCAUGUUCUUCACAAUUAGAUACUUGUUCUACUUCUAUGUCUUGUGAGACUAACCUUUUGAAGGAGAACAAUGAGCUCAAAAAUGAAGUGAAGAAUUUGAGCAACAAGUUAGAGAGGUGCUACUAUUCAAAAGUCACCUUUGAGCAUAUAUUGAAGACUCAAAGAAAUUAUGGUAAUAAAUGUGGCCUUGGCUUCAAGAAGAAAAUGACAAAGGGCGAAAGAAAGCAAGAAAAGAGGAUGAAGAAGCUACUUCAAAAGAAGCUUUCUCACACCAUGUGCUAUCGCUGUCAUGAAGCAGGACACCUUGCAAAUGGUUGCCCAAACAAAGAGAAGCUCAAGAAAAUGAAAGAAGAAGAGAGGCUCAAGCAUGUCAAGUGCUUCAAGUGCCGCACUUGGGGUCAUCUCACCUCAAUGUGCCCAAGUAAGCAAUUGGUGAAGCAACAAGAAGAGCCUCAACCUAAGCCACAAGUUGAGCAAGAAAAGACACCCCAAGCUCAAGUCAAGAUCUACCAUGAUGGUAAUGACUUGAUUAUGAAGAAGAAGAAGACAAGAAGGGGUGGAAGAGCAAGGCAUCCAAUACAAAUCCAAGAUGCCAAGAUGAUGAGCAAGAAUGAAGACAAGAAGAAAGCUUAUGCUCACAUCAUGUGUUUUGAGUGCAAGAAUGAUGGACAUUUUGCCUCGAAGUGUCCUACCAAGCUCAAGAAGAAGGCUCAAGCAACUCUCAAGAGGCAAGGCAAUAAGAAGCAACACAUGAGCAAGGAAGAAAAGGCUCAAUCAAGGAGAAGUUGCUACUUAUGCCGGAAAAGGGGACACAUGGCUCAUUCAUGUCCCCUAGUUAAUAAUUCUAAGCCAAUUUCAAUUGAUAAUCAUAAUAUGCUUAGAAAGGAUGAUGAUGGUACCUCUAUGGUUGCCAUUGCAAAACAUCCCGCUACUCAUACUAAGGCUAUGCCUAAGUAUGUUGCUCCUAACUUGAGAGGACCCAAACUAGUUUGGGUACCAUCAAAAAGUGGAUGAAUGUGUGUAGGUACCAUCUGCAUUGGAGGCUUGAUUCAAUUGAUAUUAUAUUAUUCAUCAUAUGAUUGAAUCAAGUAUUGAAGCUUAUUACAUAUCCUAUCCCAAUGCCAUGACAAGAUUAGUGAAGUCCAAAUAUGCUAUAACAUACAAGUGCAAAUAUUCAAGUUGUGGUAUUUUAUUGGAUCAUUUGAUGGCUUGCAAAUACAUGAGUUUAAGCUUGCAAAUUAGAUGAUCAUGAGCUAAGCAAUGUAUAUCUUUGCUGAUCACAUUCAUUUGGUUGCAUAUGAGUUGAUUGAAUUGGAUAUAUAUGCAAUGUUGCUUGCUAUAAGGUGUUUGAAUGGGUAAAUGCUUAGUAAUCAAGUUUGGAUUGAUUUGAGUUGAAUAAGUUCAUAAGAUGACACUUAGUAAGUGGAUUGAAUGGAUUUAUGUCUUGUGAAAGUAUUCAAACGAGUCUAUUUCAAGUUUGAUUCAAUUUUGAGAAGUAUAGCUCAACUGCUUGAAAUCUGUCCAAUAUUGAGAAUCUGAGCUAGCUGGGAUCAAGUCUGCGUUUGAGUGAUCAAAUCUUAUUGGAAUGGCUUGAAAUUUGGUAUGCAUGCUGUGAACUUAUCAUAGAAGAUGCUGUAGAAAUUUCAUGAGAAUUGGAUAAGCGAUACUUCGGUUUUAUAGUAGAUCUUAUCAGCUAUACUGCAGCAGUUUUCAGCAUAUAGCAGUGGUGGAAGAAUUGAAAUUUGGUAGCAAUCUAGAAGUCAAAAGAAGAUCAAAUUUUUACAGCUGCUAGAUGACUCAGUAAAGCACAUCUCCACCAAAUUUCGUAGUAUUUGGAUCUGUCCAUAGUGAGAUAUGAGUUAUUCUUUGAAAGGUACAGAAUCUGCUAGAAAAGUGACAAAUAUUGGAUUGAUCUAGAGUUACUUAAAUUGAAAGGUCCUCAUGUUGGAAUUAUGAUUAUAAGUGUUUGAGGCACCUAAGUUUGGUUUUGAAUUAAUCUAGAAGCAUGACAAGUAUUGAGUACAAGGCUAUUUGAUUGUGGAGUGUACUUGGUGUGCACAUUUUAGUACUCAAAUUGAAGAGCAAAAUCAAACUCAAGAUGAAGAUGAAGUUUAAGUUCUAGUGACUAUUGGAAAUCAUUUGGUAGAAAGAAAAGGACUUAAACAAGUAGAAAGAAAAGGACUUAAAGAAGGAUUCAUGGUUACUCAUCAUACUAAGUCCAUCACUUGAAUCAAUCAAUCAAAGGCAAUUCAAGUGAGUAUCAAAAAUAGUUCUUUGGAGAGAGGUCACUUCUCCCUAUGUGAGGGGCGUGCCGCCCGAGGAGUGGGUAAACCAAGUGUGGUGCUUGGAAGGCUAACAUGGAAGUGGUGAUCUAAAGGACAUUUGAGAUGCUUAGUUGAAGCAAUCAAAAGGAUUGAUCAAGAAAGCAAGCAACAACCCAAAAGAGAGCUAGUCAUGCUAUUUCAAGUGAUAUUCUUAGUAGUUCUCUCAUGCAAGCAAUGACAAGAAAAUAUGAAGCAAGCCAACCACAACAAGAUAGUGCACUUGAUCAUAUAAGUGGUUUUCAUUUCAUACGGGUGAAGAUUUGAUCUAUCAAUUAACAUUUAUAAUUAGUCUUCACCAAGCUUAUAGUUGGACUUCACAUUGCUAUUUGGAGCUAAAUUGGAAUCUUAUUGACUAUACUCUACUCCAAGAUAUCAAAGGUAUCAUUAUAAUGUGCAUGAUCAUUUCAUCCCUUACUAGUAUGUGGUUAGUGCAUAUAGUACAUGCUUAAUAGGAUCAUGCAUGACAAAUGAAAAGUUUUCAAUUCAUAGCCUACCACUAUUGCUUGAAUGAUUAGUUGAUCUAGUGUUAUGUAUAUGAGUUUGUUCAUGAGCUAGUGAACCCAAGUACUUGAUCUAUUUUGGAUUGUUAACAAGUAACAAGUACAACAUUGGUAAGAUAACCCUUAAUGUGAGGUGUGAAAAAGCUUGUCAUUGGUUCAAACCGGACAUGGAAGUUUAGGCAAAUCAACAUAGUUCAAGUCAACAAUUAGAAGCUCAUGAUGAUGAGAGUACAAGAACAAGACAACAAUGAAAAUGGAUAUCUAGACUCAAAUGUUUCUUCGAGUGAUAUCCUACAAUUGGUACUCAUGAUGAUGAUAGCAAAUGUUCAAGAUAGCAAACAUGUGGUUCCAUACUAGAAGACCUUAAUUGGUAGAAGAAUCCCAUAUGGUAUCGGACAAGAUAUUUCAUUUAUACAUAUGGUAUCUAUCAUACAAGAAGGUGGUUCCACAAGUGAUCCUCAACUUUAAGUGAUCAUCAAGCAAAGAAAGUUCCCUCACCAACAAGAUUGACAAGUGAAUGACCCAUGCUAUGACAUAGGGGGAGGUGCCCUACCAAAUGGUAUCAAGGUCAAAGAUCCUAUGUGGUAUCUCAAGAGCAAUUCAAGAAAUGUCAUUCCAACACAUAUGGUGAUGUCCAUCAAAAAUGCAAGAUUCAAGCCUCAACCAUCUAUCCCAUUGUAAUCCUUUGUCACAAUGAGAUUCACAUUUUUUCAAUUGGUAUGAAGUGAUUUAAUUGGUAUCACAUACCUUUUAUGGAAAUUGAUGACAAAGGGGGAGAAGUUGGAACAAAGAUAUUGUAACACUCUAGGUGUUAAGCAUGCAUUUAGCCCUAUCACAACAUGCAUAAGCAUUCUCAUCAAGCAUAGCAUCAUGAGCAUGUCAUUCAUCCCCAAAACAUGAUUUUAUGUGCUUUAUUUCAUGUGUUUUAAUUAUGUUAAAAAUAUGAUGCUUGCUUCUAAAAAUGUGAAAUAUUCAAACUAGGUUGAUUUAUGUGUAAGAAGAAUUAAGAAUAUUUUUGUGUAAUUUUUGGAGCUAUAGAAUUUGAGAAAUGGAAUUUAUACAAAAAUUCCCAAAUUGAAUUUAUUUAAAAAAAAACUAGAACAAGUUUUAAUUUGUAAUUCAAAUUCUAUUUGGAAUUUGGUCUUGCUUAUUAAAACAAAGUUGUAGGGUUUUUGUUUUGGAACAAUUUUUUGCUUUUGGGAGCAAGAGGUGAAAAUGAUUUUAAAAUUGGUCCAAAUGAAUUUAGAAGAGAUUUGGAGAAAAGAAAUUCAAAAAAAAAAAGAAAAGGGGCAGGCGCUGCCGGGCCAACCCCGCCUCCCUCUCGGCCCAGCAAGCGGCCCGGCCUGCCUCCCCCUCCCCCUCUCUCCCGCGCGCGGACGCCCGCCUCGCCCCAGCCAGCGUCGGCCACGUGGCGGCCGUACGCCGGCGAGGAGCGCGCCGCGGCCGGACUCCAACCCCCCCUGGUCGGGACGCCGGCUCGGGCUCCCAGGCCAUUCCCUCCCUUCUGUCGCCCGCGCCCUUCUCCUUCCUCCCUCCGCUCGCGAGUGCGACCGAGCCGUAGAGCUCCGCCGCAGCGCCAUCGCCGGAGCAGCUCCGCUGCUCACCGCCGGCCACUCCAGUGACCAAACCUCGACACCGAAGCCACCAGCGCCUUCGCCAUCGUUAGGGUAAGCUUAUGCGAGUGUUCUACCGAGGUGAGAGUCCGUUGAGCGCCGUGAAUCGCUCGCCGGAGUUACCCCGAGCUCGCCGGAGUACUCCGCCGCGACGGAUCUUGCGUUUCUCUGCCUCUUUUCGCUGGUUUUUGGUUGCGCUAGGUCGGUAGGGUGGUGAGGAAGCUCGGAGAGCCGUUUGCGCGCGCUCUACCGCAUCGGAGCGGCCUGGCCACGGCGAGCAGCGCCGCCGUGCCGCCAUGCAAGCUCGUCGAAGGUGUUCCGGUCAUCCUCCGGCCAAUCCGAGGGUACCGCUGGGUGCGCCUCGCUGCGGGGAGCACGAUGGUGCUCACCCCGUGGCCGGAGACCUCACCGCCGGCGAGAUCUGCUCGUCGGAGGUGAGCACCCUCUCGGUCUCGCUGACCGGUGGGGUCAGAGGCCCACUGUCAGUCGUCGGGGGACCCCGGUGGGUGUAGAUCUGGGUGUGUCUAGCCUUUUUUGUCGGUUUUCUUGAAUAAAUGUUUUCCAGAAAUUGAUUCAAAACUUGUAAAAUUCAUAUCUUAAGUUCUACAGCUCCAAAUUUGAUGAAAUAAAUUUUGUUGCGCUCUAUAUUUUCAGAUCUACAGCCUGAUGUAAUUGCAUGUCAUGCUUGAGUAACUUUUCUGUAUGAAUAUAUUUAAUCCAUGUUUUUGCUAAACUUGGAAAAUGCACAAUAAUCCAAAUAUGACUCAGAAAAAUAUGAAACUUGUUUUAUGGGCUUUGCAUGUCAUUGGGAAAAUAUUGCUACACAUUAUUUGGUGUAUAAAUGAAUUUAUGGUAAUUUAAAUGCUUGCAUGGCAGUGGUUUAUGAUUUUUAGUAAUUAUUUGGAUCAUGCAAUUAAUCUGGAAUUUUUUGUGGUUGUUUCUUAUGAUAUUAGACAAAUUGUAAAAAUAUGAAAUCUGCUGUUUAACACUUAUGUCACAGUGGAGUAAUUAUACUUACCUUAUUAAUUAAUCUUGUGAUUUUUGUAGCUCAAAAUAAGUAUCCAAAAAAAUUAUGAAAAAUUUACAGUAGACUCUAUGGUUGGCUGGUAGUCUCCUGUAAUUUUUGUGGAAUUUAUUGAUGAACAGAACUGCAUGUAAAUUUUAAUGGGCCUAGAAAUGUAUAAAGAAAAUUAUGAAUUGUUGUACAUAUAGGUUGAAUAGAAUAAGUUUGGGUUUGGUGUAUCUUUCAAGCAACUUGUGGGUUACUGGUCACAUUUGAAAAAUAAUUGUAGAAGAGAAUGCAAUAGAUGUUUGAUUCAAUUGUUUGUCCUUGGAUGAUGUUGACUACCUUGUAAUGAGCAUGACCAAGUGUAUCACCUAUGCAUCAUGUCAUGAUCCUUUGGUACCUUCUCAUACGAGCAUCCACUCGGGCAUCACGCACUUCACUCAUGAGCACACAUGCAUCAUACAGGCUCGCAGGAGAACGAGGUGGGACUCGAGGAGCCAGAGGAGAUUCAGGAGCAGGAACCUCCGGAAGCACAGGAGUCCGGAGAGGAACUGCAGGAGUGUCCGGAUCACCGACCAAGCACGUUUGAGAAAGGCAGGCCCCGGAGCAUUCUAAGUCUCCCUAUUCUCGCUAACCUACCGGGCAUACUAUACUUGUUCUACUAUAUUGCAUCUAAGUGAUAGGAAUUGCUUGAUACCGUUGAUGCAUAUGUACUCCUUGUUAUCCCUACUCGUUUACCUGCCUUGUCCUAUGUAGAUAGGCACGGAGUCUAUGCUUAGCUUGCUUAGUCUAGUAGAAGUCGGGUGAUUCCCUGUCACCUGCGAGAUAUAGGUGGAUACCUGCUUGCUUAAGCAGUGGUUGCUUGGGGGAAAAGAAUAACCAAGUGUGGAAUGUAAUUGGAGACCGGGCAGGGUCUUGUGGUGGGUUGACCAUAGUGCCCCUGCCUGUGUCGAUUAAGGACCGAUUGUUGACGGCCCUCUUGUCAUGUUGAACGCAUGCCCCACACUUAGCAGGAAGGAUAAGUCGUUCCGACCGCGAAGACUGAACACUAUCCGGGCCGGGAAUCCAGCCGCCAUGCGCUGUAUUGGUGAUGGUUGAGGAGAACGACGAGGGCGCGGCGCGCAACCUUGAUAUACCUUGGAUACCUCGGUCGCCGGAACGGUCCUCGGGUACUGGCUGUAACAGAACCGUCCAAUUUAUAAGAAUUUAAGUGAAUUAGCGACCACUGAGGCAAUCAAGCCAAUGGACUUGAACCCAUAUAAACCCCGUAGUCCGACGAAAUCUCCACAGACCUCGAUUCAACCAACAUACAACCAAGAUCGUACAUGAUCAAGCAUCACCAUCACAGAUUACAACAUUCAACAGAACAUAGUUUUACAUCACAUCAGAGUUUGGAAGAGGUUAUUACAAACCAUAGCAGUAGCGGAAACAAAAGUAGUUUUGAAACAACUCCAACUCAGUUCAUAAUACAUGCCAGUUCCAUGGUCAAUCCCCACAAAAGCAUAACUGAAGGUAGAAGAGCGAUCACGCCCGUGAUCUAUUCAUCAUCCGCAGCUGGGUGAUGACAGUUUGCACAAUAGCCGUGAUAGACGACAUCAUCUGCAACAGGGGUAAAUAAAACCCUGAGUACGAGAAUGUACUCAGCUAGACUUACCCGUCAUAAACCAGAAAUAAAGUGACACCAAGGAGUAUGCAAGGCUCAUCUUAGUGGACUGGUUUGACUCACUUUUUGCAUAAAAGCCUUUGUGGUAAGUAAUUCAUUUAUUCAUAUUUCAGCAGCAAGUUCAUUACUUAGCAGCUAUCCACUAGAUUAGCACCUGUUCUAAGCAUACACUUGAGUAAUUAAUCAUUUCAAUAAUAACCAUAUCAGGAUUAUCACUUUGCUAUCAACAGUCUCAUCAUAACCAUCAAGUUUAUUUAGUGAAUUCUACGUUGCCGCUGCCCGAGUCAAGUUCUCACUAUCCGGGAGAGACGGCGAUUCGAAUCGAUUCCUAUCCAGCUGGAGGGGUAUUCCUAACACUCACCCAAGCAUACUUCAUGACGGCAGCUUGGAUCACCUUUAGCACAACUCCGGACCAAUUCGUGGGUCCGUACGGCGCCGCACCCCCAGGGACCGCCAGUCUACCAGGGACAGGACUCUAACCUGACACCUUGGUCUUACGCCAUUGACUCCCCGCACAUCCUUACUACCAACCGGGGUGCGCACUUUAACCAGAUCGGGGUAUCCGGCAGGAGUUGCACUCGUAGGCUUCGCGGUCGGAACGACUUAUCCAGCCAACUAAGUGAUAGGCAUGCGUUCAACAUGACACGGGGACGUACAGCGAUUCGGUCCUUAAACGACACAGACGGGGAUAGAUUCACACCCAAGACCUCCAUGCCUUGUUGCUGCACUAUCGUCAUCCCGCCCGGUCUCAAGUUCAUUUUUAGCACCUGGUUAUCUCCACGAUAGCAAAUAUAGCCAACGGUGAUCAUCAUCCACCUAACUCUCGCAGGUGACAGGAAAUCACCCGGCUUCUACCGAGCUAAGCAUGGCUAAGCAUCACUUCGAUCCUGGAACUACUUCGGUAAUGUUUAAGGUGGACAAGGUAGUUACUAUGCAGCAAGGGUGUCAUAUCAACGCCUACCACUUAAUGCAACAAUAUAUAACCAUAGUCAUUUGAUAGCCGAUUAUGAUAAUAAAAUAGUAGGAGGCUUAUAAUGCUCCGGGGCUUGCCUUCGACGUAGGUAGAGGGACGAUGGUCAUGACACUCCGGCAAGUCCUCCUCCUCCUCAACUCCUUGAGGUAGCUCCCCUUGCUGUCCUUCCGGCUCCGGCAACUCGUACUCCAGUACCGUCACACCCUUGGGUACACCUAUGGAUGUAUGACAAGGAGAUGAAUAUAGAGAAUGCACAUAUGAUGCAUGAUAUCAUGAUGAGGAGCCAAAUAGACAUAAAACAAGGUAUAACAUGAGUGCAAACUUCUAAGAUUAAGUGAAUCAUGGAAUAACAAGCCACUGCAUACUUCUUCUCUGGUAGAGAGACUAAUUGGACAAGUUAAACAAAUUCUAGUUAUUCCUACUCAGCCACUGGUUUAGUAGACAAGCCAACCAGUCACAAGUUUUAGCCAUAACUUAAGCAUUAUUUAACCAAACUAAGCAAGUAAGUACUUUCUGGAAAGCUUAGCAAAUUGUCUACAAUUCACUUUUAAACAUCUCAGCAUGAUUCCCAACCGAAAUAUGCUAAAACAUACAAAGUUGGCUGACUGCUCUGGGAAUUCCAGAGAGCAAGCACUUUGCAGCAGCUACUUGAAAUAUGCGUAACUUUUAAACUACUCAACCAAUUGCCAUGAAAUUUGGACACGAAUUAGAUCAGUAAGUUAGCUACAAGUUUGUUGUAGACAAGUUUCCCAGAAAAUAACAUCUUUAAUUAGUUCUCAAGCAUUUUCUAACAGCUACACAGAAAUGCUCUAGGAAAGGCAUAAAUAGCCAAAGAUAAUAUUUUGCACAUGUUGAGAAUGUAUCAAAGGAACAAUCCAAUUGCACUAGUAGAUAGAACAUAUCUAAGAAACACCAGAAAACAUCAUGGUAAGGUCUAAAACUAUUUCUAUCAUCACCUUUUCCAUUUAUUUAAUUAUUAAGGUGAUUUAAUGAACAUAUACUCCAAUUGUUCCACAAAUCCUAAGAAAAUUACAGCAAGCUACUUAUGCUAACAUAAGAUCACUGUAAAAUUUUCAGAACAUUUGCACAUACACAUUGUGACGUAUAAAAAUAACAAGCUAGUAAAGGCAUGCAAGGCAUAAAUGUGAAACCCUAUCAAAAAGUGUCAAACAACAGAUUUCAGAUUUUUCCUAGUUUUGUCCACACAUAAGUACAACACUCAGCAAGUUUCAUCACAAAAGGAGUUAUAACUUAAUUACUAAAAAUAUCACAAUAAACUCCUAUUUAAGCAAGAAUUAUUUUUAACUUCUUAACUAGGCUUCCAAAAAUCUUGAAAAAUUUAUCAGAGCCUAUUCAUAACAUAAGUAACAACUCCCUAAAUUUGCAUGGCCAUCAGAUCAAUAGAUCUCAAGAUAUAAUUACCCACUGAAAAUCCAAGAUUAAUUUAUAUCUAUUUAUUUCUGUAAAAACAUAGCAUGUUUCAUAUUUUUAUUAAAAACUAGGCUUGAGCUGGAACCUAGCAAAAUUGGAAGCACCACAUUUGGAUCUCUAAAACUCCAGAUAUGAAUUUUACAAAAACAGCUUUGGCUCUGCACAACAGUAACCCAAGGGGUGACACAGAGAGGCUGACACCCGGGACCCGCGCAUCAGUGAGAUAGAGGCAGGGGAGAGCUCAACGACGACGAGGUCUCGGCCGGAUCCAAGGGCACCUACGUGUUCCUCUCAUCAAGACGACUCUGUUGACCUACUUUACGCGCGCUCUACUGGACCCUAGGGUGCUCGCCGUCGGGAAUGGCGGAGCGGCGGCGCUGCGCGGCGGUACGCCGGCGGAUCUAGGCAAUGGCGACGUGGUAGAGCGUCAUGCCGAGCAUCAGUGAACCAAGGGGAAGCGAUAGGAACAAGAAUGGAGGAAAAUGGUGGAGCAGAGAAGCCUGGCCACGUUGCCGGUGAGCUCGAGCGGAACUCCGGCGAGGAAGAACUGCUCGGAGCUCGGCAAUGCCGCCUUACCCGUGCUCGACAGUGGCCAAGGAGGUGACGCCGAGGUAGAGGAGGCUCUGGCGAAGCUUUUGGCGGGCUUGUUUGGCCGGAGACGGCGAGAAGAGCUCGGGCGACGCGGCCGUUCCACGGCGGAGCUCGCCGAGGCGAAAUGGAGAAGGGAGAGGGCGCUGGAGAGGCGAAAUGAGGACGGCCGGGGCUCGGGGUGGCGUCGUGGCGUCCAAGUGAAGGCGCCGGGGCUGACAGACGGGGUCGCCGUCGACGUACGGCCGCCACGGGUCAUCCACGCGUCGGCCGGCCGGCGACUGACGAAACUGAAUCGCACGAUUCAGUCGUCGUCGACCGUGUCUGAAACCCAAAGUUCACCGGCGUUUUACUCUCAGCUCACUCGAUGGUUUUGGCUCAAACUUGUUCCUUUGGACAGAGCUACACGAGUUCUACAACUUUGGUUACCAGGUCAAAGUCUAACUCGGUCUGGAUUUCAAACUACAAGGCUCCCAACAACCCUUGGUCGAAACUGCGUGAUCCAACACUUAGCCAAAUUCGGCUAAGUGUGAAAUCAGCACUGAUUUUUGGCUUGUGAGUGACUUUUGGAAGUGUUCCAAGUUUUUUCAUAAUAAGUCAUCAACAGAACUUUUGUAGCUUAUGAAUUUCUCUACAACUUUGUUUCAGGUGUCAAAGACAUGCAAGAUUUCUAACACCAGUUUCAUAAAACAUCUUUGAAAAGAGGUCUAGGAGGGUCAAAAAGGUCAUUCUAGGGAUAACCAUGACUUAGGGGCAUUUUUGGCCAAAACCUUCAACAUGAACUUUGUUCCAAAUGAUAUUCUAAACAUGAUUGAGGUAUUUUGGAAGACAAUGUACAAUUGUUUGCAUUGGCUACCCCUUAGUCACUCAAUUCAAGUCACACAAGCAAUUUAAUCAUGUAGUGCAUAUAGCAAAUGGCAUAUGAUCAUGGUAUGAUGCUCAUGAGUGAUCAUGAUGAUGCUUAUGUUGAUGCAAUGCUCAUGGCUAACAUGGAAGCUAACACUAGGAGUGUUACAGCCCUCCCCCCUUACAAAAAUCUCGUCCGAGAUUUGAAAGACGUACCAUUUUUCGUAGAAUGUGGGAUAAGUUACUUGUAAAUAGUCUUCCCUUUCCCAAGUGGCAUCUCUCUCAUUUUGACGGUUCCACAAAACUCUAAAAAGUUUGAUGACCCUCCCACGAGUAACUCGUUCUUUGACAUCAAGAACAUGUACAGGCUUUUUCUCGUAGGAUAGGUCUGACUGCAACUUGAUAUCUCUUGUUUCAACUCUCUCUUCAGGCACACGAAGACACUUCUUGAGUUGAGACACGUGGAAUACAGGGAAAAUAGCUCUCAUUUCGGGAGAUAGUUGUACUUUGUAAGCUACCUUGCCACUCUUCUCAAUGAUUCGGUAGGGACCCACAUACCUAGGGGCAAGCUUUCUUUUAACACCGAAGCGAUUUACUCCUUUCAUGGGCGAUACUUUUAUGUACACAAAGUCACCUAUUUCGAAUUCAAUGGGCUUUCUUCUUUGGUCAGCAUAGCUUUUCUGCCUAGCCUGGGCGGCUCUCAUAUGUUGCUGAAUAAUGAGAACUUGUUUCUCGGCUUCCUUGACGAAGUCAAUUCCGUAGUACCUCCUUUCGCCUGGUUCAACCCAGUUUAAUGGAGUUCUACAUUUGCGGCCAUACAAAGCUUCGAAAGGGGCCACUUGGAUGCUUUCUUGAUAACUAUUAUUGUAAGAGAAUUCAGCUAACGGUAGCCAUUUCUCCCAUGCACCCUUGGAAGAUAUAACACAAGCCCUCAACAUAUCCUCUAAAAUUUGAUUCACACGCUCAGUUUGACCGGAGGUUUGAGGAUGAUAGGCUGAACUGCGACCCAACUUCGUGCCAAGGAGUGAAUGCAGAUGCUCCCAAAAGCGAGCAGUGAACUGAGGAGCUCUAUCAGAAAUAAUAGUGCGAGGCACUCCGUGCAAUUUAAUUAUCUGAGAGAAGUACAACUCAGCAUAGUCGGAUGGCCGGUAUGUAGAGUGUACAGGAAUAAAAUGAGCUGACUUGGUCAAACGGUCAACAAUCACCCAUAUAGAGUUGUGUCCUUUUUGAGUAAGGGGAAGUCCAACAAUGAAAUCCAUGCUGAUUUCUUCCCACUUCCAACCUGGAAUUGACAAGGGUUGCAAUAAACCUGCAGGUUUGAGGUGAACUGCCUUUACCUUGCAGCAAGUAUCACACCUAGCAACAUAAGCUGCUAUCUCCUUCUUCAUUUUGGUCCACCAGAAACAAGGUCUCAAGUCUUGGUACAUUUUGCUACUUCCCGGAUGAAUGGACAACUUGGAAGAAUGAGCUUCUUCUAGAAUUUUGUUGCGUAGGUCACGAUCUUUAGGUACAACUAGUCAAUUGUCAAACCACAGUACACCUUUCUCAUCUACCCUGAAAUGCUUGGUGUCUUGCUCUUGCAUUUUUCUCUUGAUAUGAUAAAUACCAGGAUCAGAUUUUUGGAGCUCUAUGAUUUGACUCUCUAAUGAGCAACUGACUAUAAUGUUGUGCAGGACCACAGGAUGCAAUAAAUUGAAUCCUUCCUCUAGGAGAGGUCUAACAUGUUGUUUCCGACUAAGAGCAUCAGCUACAACAUUGGCCUUGCCGGGAUGAUAGUGUACUUCUAGAUUGUAGUCUUUUAUCAACUCCAACCAUCUUCUUUGUCUCAUGUUCAGUUCAGGCUGAGUGAAUAUAUAUUUGAGGCUCUUAUGGUCAGUGUAAAUGUGACAAAGAUUACCCAACAGAUAGUGUCUCUAGAGUUUCAAUGCAUGUACAACUGCUGCUAACUCUAGAUCAUGAGUAGGGUAGUUGGCUUCAUGUUUCCUCAGUUGCCGAGAAGCAUAGGCAAUAACUCGGCCUUCUUGCAUAAGCACACAACCUAGGCCAGUGCCAAAUGCAUCACAAAAGACAUCAAAUGGCUUUUCAAUGUCAGGCUGUGCCAGAACAGGAGCGGUGGUCAGCAAAUGGUGUAAAGUGGUGAAAGCAACUUCACACUCUUCGGACCACACAAACUUCACAUCUUUUUGUAGUAGCUUGGUCAUAGGUUUAGCUAUUUUGGAAAAGUCUGGAAUGAAGCGCCGAUAAUAACCAGCUAGGCCGAGAAAACUCCGAACCUCGUGCACUGAAGUCGGGGCCUUCCAGUCUAGAACCUCCUACACCUUUGACGGGUCAACAGAAAUACCCUCUUCGGAUAAAAUAUGGCCUAGGAAAGGCACUUUCUUCAGCCAAAACUCACACUUGCUGAACUUGGCAUAAAGCUGGUGUUCUCGCAGUCCAGUGAGUACAAUCCGAAGGUGCUCCUCAUGUUCUUGUGCAUUUUCAGAGUAUACCAAUAUAUCAUCGAUGAACACCACCACAAACUUAUCCAGUUCGGGCAUGAACACCGAAUUCAUCAGGUACAUGAAAUGAGCAGGGGCAUUAGUCAGACCAAAGGACAUGACUAAAUACUCAUACAACCCAUACCUGGUAGAGAAAGCCGUUUUAGGAAUGUCUUCAGGUCGGAUCUUGAUUUGAUGAUACCCAGACCUCAGAUCAAUCUUGGAGAAUACCUUGGUCUUGGCUAAUUGAUCAAACAGGAUAUCAAUGCGAGGCAAUGGGUACUUGUUUUUAAUAGUCACGGCGUUGAGCGGACGAUAGUCUACACACAUACGCAGAGACUUGUCCUUUUUCUUGACAAAGAGAGCCGGACAACCCCAUGGAGAAGAACUAGGCCGAAUAAGACCUUUCUCAAGUAGUUCUUGCAAUCGCUUUUUCAACUCUGCCAACUCGUUGGGUGGCAUUCGAUAUGGACUUCUAGAGAUAGGUGCGGUACCCGGAAUUAGAUCAAUUUUAAACUCAAUGUCUCUGUCCGGCGGCAACCCGGGCAGGUCCUCUGGAAAUAAGUCCGGAAACUCACACACUACCGGAAUCUCUGCUAAAGUGAGUGGUCGAAUGGCAUUGGCAGCGUGACGGAUGUCAUAAUUCUUGGGAAGCUGGACUAAGAAGGCUUCCUUACUAUCAGGCUCUCGCAACAUGACUACUCUCGUGGAGGUAUCUAUUAACACCCCAUGCUUGCUCAUCCAAUUCAUUCCCAGAAUAAUAUCUAUCCCCAAGCCUGGCAAUACUACUAAAUCUGCUACAUAAUUCCGCACUUCUAUGGCAAUAUGUACAUCCCUCACUACUUGAUUCGUAGCAAUUUGAUUACCAGCAGCACUAAUGCAAAACUUGCCACUGUCAAGAUCAACUACAUGCUGCCCAUGCUUGGAUGCAAAUGCUUGACUCAUGAAUGAAUGUGAAGCUCUAGAAUCAAACAAGACAACUGAAGGGUGUUGAUUUACAAGGAACAUACCAGCAGUGACUGCUUCACCUUCCGGGAUUUCUUCAGCAGUGGUAUAGUGCACUCGACCCAUACGGUUAUUGCCUCCAGCUGCCGUAUUUCUCUUAGGAUAAGGGCAAUUUGUCGCCCAGUGACCAACUUGCUUGCAAUUGAAGCAGGGACGGUUAUAAGGAGGAGUCUUGGGACCUCUUUGACCCGUAGCACCUCUUGGGAGAGCAACUGUGAAGGACUUGCAAACUCCCGUCUUCAUAUUUGACUUUUUCUGCGGCGGCCUACACCUUGUCACAGCAUUGGGUGGGCGAUAGGCCGGCUUGCUUGCCACUGGAGCCUUGGACUGCGAAGCACCUGCCUCAUAGGCCCUCUUGCGGUUCUUGGACGCGGCAUACACGGCAUUGGAGUUCUCUUGAGUCAACGCAUCACUCACAAACUCAUUAAAGGUGGUACUCUUGUUACCAGCCAUGUUCUUGGACAACUUGGGUCCCAACCCUCUCUUGAAACUAGCGAGCUUCUUGACUUCGGUGUCAACCAUCUCAGGAGCAUAGCGAGACAAAUUGUUAAAAGCAUGAAGAUAUUCAGUCAAGCUUUUAGUGCCUUGCGUCAGGUUCAUGAACUCGGUGUGCUUGAUAGUCAUUAAGCCUUGUGGAAUAUAAGUGUUCCUGAAAGCAGUUUGGAACUGGUCCCAGGUUACAACAGCAUUGGCGGGCAAGCUAGUUCUAUAAUGACUCCACCAAACACCCGCUUUGCCCUCCAACUGGUGGGUUGCAUAUUCCGCCUUUAGUUCUUCGGUUAACCUUAGCAAACGGAAUUUCUGUUCCAGAGUGUUAAGCCACUCAUCAGCUUCUAGAGGUUCAACGGCCUCCUUGAAAAGCGGCGGGUUGGUGUCCUGGAAAUCCUUGAAACUGCUGUACUGAUUUGCCUCUCCGCCUUGGCGGACAUGGCGACCACCCCGGUUCUGCUGCGCCAUAGUCUGCAUGGCCUCAUUGAGCAUACGCUGGCCCUCAAUAAGAGCUACCAAUAGCUCCGUAGGCGUAGGCGGGAGAGGAGGUGGUGGUGGCGGCACCUCGUUGUGACUGGAGCGAGUAUUGCGAGCCAUCUGCACAAGGCAUACCAAGCGAUUGUUUCAGGCAACAGAUAUAAUUGUCAUGAACUUCAAUUGCUGCCAUACGGAAUUUAAUGAAGUAAAUUUACAUAAAUUAAGGCACAAUAAUCCAUGUACAAUAAGAAAAUAUCUUCCAUGAUACUUGGUUAUUCUCGCGAUCAUUCACAGCCACAAUUUCUCAAGGAUUAACGACAUUGCAGAGAUUUAUUUCAGCUCAACAUAAACAUGGAGCAUCACAAAUAAGUGCAUAAGGUUAUAUAGAGUCAUUGCCACACUUAAGUUUUACAGGAGGGGCACCAUGGCCAAAUACAUAGAGUCUCAAUUAAAAUUCAGAUUACAUGUCCAUUACAUAAAGAGAUGGAAACUGACUCAUGAUCAUAGAAUUAUUGCUAGGCUACAUAUCUUCAUCAGAUUCUCCAUUAGAAAUGAUGCCAUCAUCCUGAUCUUCCUCACUAGGAGCUUCUUCAUGAUUAAAAGGGGCUGGUUGUGGGAUAGGAUUUAUAAUAUUAUUUAAGCGAUGGACAUCCAACUGCAGCUCAGCAAUCCUAGUAAUCAGCUCUUCCUCUCUCAUUUCAGCAUGGAACAAGGCUCUAACUCUAGUAGCUUGUUGGAUAUUUUAAACGCAAACAGAAAAAUCCGCAAGCGCACGGAUACCGAUGUAGCUUUCACCCGGGAGUAUUCCAGAGUAUCGAUUUUCCACAGAGAACGUGAGUGUACUAAUUAAGAUCCAAGAUCGCCCAAGGAUAACUAUAUAACUAUUUUUUGGUGGGAAGAGAGGAAGUUUCCUGAGAGUUCUCUAGUUGAUCUAAGAAUCAAGAAUUACUUCAAGAUUAUCUAUAUCGUGACAUCAGAACACUAACCACAGAAAGAGAUGAGAAGGGGGCUAGGAAGCUCCGACUACGGUCCUACAAACACCGAUCCGAACGAGGUGGAAUACGUCGACCGUUAGGGCUGUCACUACCCUAAGGCUACCACAACAAUACGCAGGAUUGGGUGCAAUUCCAGGUAAUUGCAAGACUAAACACCACGUCUAAUCUAUUAAUUACUACUCUAAUGUUUCAAAGAUUAGAGCACUUGAUGCAAGUGGGAAACCAAUAAAUAACUUGAAUGUAAAUAAAAGUAAUUAGAGAACUCAGGAGUUAUGAAUUGAAGAACCUGGAGAACGAUGAAGAACGAACCAGCUGCUGCAAAAGUACAAUGUUGAGGAAGAUCCGACAGAUCCGGCUCCUCCUCCGCUCUCCUCUUCUCUCUCCCUAUUUUCUAGAUUACAACUAGAACUAACUAGAACUAGAACUAGAGGAACUAGAACUAGAAGAACUAGAGGGAUCCUCUCUACUUGGAUGAAGAAUUGGGGGCCUUGCUUAUAUAGUCUUUUCAGAUGAAUCUGGGCCGUCGGAUCAAACCGACAUUGAUCGUGUGGUUUUCCUUGAAGUAUUAGGUCGGUGGAGCAUGAUCCCCGAACUUCACCCUGAUUGGUCCAGGGGGGAGGGCGGGCGCCUUGUGCCUGAGCCCUCUCGGCCUCCGCUUCGGUCCCGUGGCUUCUGGAGUCUUCUAGAUGGUAGAUAAUUGUGCGACAUGUUAAUAUCUCUAUGUAAACCCGACGUGUGGGCCUUUCUUCCGUAUUUCCUGAUAACCCCCUGCAGAAAUAGACAAACACCAAAACUUGUGGAAUUCUGUCAGAUAAAACCCUAAGUCUAGGUGUUGGUUGCAUUUGGAUCCUUUUCCAUGAUUAAUUGAUGGUUAAAUAUGAGUAUUAAGGACCGUCAACAAGCUCCCCCAAGCUUAACCUUUGCUCGUCCCUGAGCAAAGAUGGACUCAAGAGUUUCUGUAGUGGUUUCAUAACUUAAAGAUACACAUGCGUUUAAACAAGAUCUCAUCUCUGGUUAGAGUAAACUGUUAAUACUUAAAACUUACUCAUUUUACCUUCCACCAUGGGGCUUGCAACCGUCACUUGUGUCUUGAGCAGUUAAAAGAUAGAACGGUCUAAUCAAGCGCCAUGUCUCAUUUUCUUGAUCAACUAUAGCUCUGGAGUUUUUGCAUAUUUUCAAAUAAAACUCAGAGAUUCCUUGUAUGACUCUCUCUAGUCUCUCUUUUGUGGUAUUUCUGGAUCCUUACCAAGGCAGUAAAGGUGUAUGCCUUCUCUCAAAGUAUGUAGUAUUUUUGGUAUAAGGCACAGUGACAUUGCCUUCUCUCUCACCCUACUCUAAUAAGGCUUUUGAUAUCUGGAGCUCAUAGGUGGGAGACAGCUACUACAUACUUACAAGACAUUUAUUGCAUAGUCAAACCAUGGAUCCAGAAGAACAAGUCAAUAAGUCAAAUCAAGAUGUGCAUGUGUGGCGAAUGAAUGGUGUAUGGUGAUAAUGGUGAUAACAAUGGUGGAAGUCUAAUUCUACUUAUGCUCUUUUAAGGGGAUACAUACCUUUCUUGCUCUUUUGAAACUUUUCGAGGGGAAUGAGAUGCUCUAUAUUUUCUCUUUUUUUUCAGGUGGGUAUCUUGUACCCCUAAUUCUACUAUCGGACACUUGUCCAUUUUUACCUCUCGUCUCACUUUUUUUUUCUUUUUUUUUCUUUCGAGGUUCCGGGCACUUGCCCCUUUUUAUUUCCUCGCAUCUUCUUUUUUAUUUUUUUUUAUAUUAGAGCACUCAUCUCCUGAAAUAAUAUAGCAAGUGGUAGUAACUAAGAUAACUUGAGCAUUUAUUUCACAGGGGAAAAACAGACAUGUUUUUGGCUAUUCUCUCCCGGAUUAGGAGUAGAAUAUUUUUAGGUGGUUCUGGAGAUGGAAAUGGGUGGAUGUAUGUGGAUGCGUACUUCCAGAGUAGAAGUAGCAUGUAUGAGUGAACGUGCAAGUGAAUCUUGAUUUAACCACAUGACAAGCUCCUAAGGGUCUACACAGCUUGACCAUACUCAAUGCUCAUAAGCAGUAAAAAGUAAAUGUGUGGCUCAAAGUCUAGCAAGCAUGUAUAUAUGGCUGUGGUAGGAAUCUAAACUCUCAUCAUACAGGAACUCAUCAUGCAACAUUUUAAAGAUUUUCAAAGAUAAAAUUCUCCAGAAUUCUAGCAUCUCUAGGAACAGAUAAACAGCAGCUCAACCUUCCCAUAUCAUAUCCGUUAACGACUUAGACUUCAGAUCAAGUACUCUUCCCACAAUUUCAAGUUUAGAGCAAAUCUUAAUUAAUAACAGUCAUGCCUAAACUUGAGAGAGAUUUCAAUUUUGAGAACUAGUCAUGGCAGAGCAACUAUUCAUUAUUUCCAUGUGAGAGCUUAUUAUGAGGAUUCAAGCAAACUUUAUUUAUUUAUUUAUUUAGCAAACUAAGCAAAGAUAUAUAUAAGCACAAAAUCUUUAUUUGGGUUUCUAUGAUUAUGCAUCUUUUUAUUAUUAGAGUAAAGUAUAAACGUGAGUAGAAUACUUAGCUGGAUAAAUAGGGGUGCUCUCCCUCAAGCUGGAUUUUGACAUAAUUCCUUUUGAUGUAGCUAGCAGGUGGCGGAGUUGUAUCUGAAUGCCGACAGCACCCUGACAGCGAUUAGGAUGUCCUCCUUCUGCUAGUCUUCUUUGAUCCUUGAAUUCUGUGGAGCUCAAAUAGACAACAAAGCUUUGUGGAACUGGUUAAGUGUUAGCAUAAAUACCUAGCCUUUAUCAUGUUGAGCCUCCUCAAUAAAUGUUACUCUCUUUAGUAGGAUCAUAAAUUUAUUUUUAUAUUUUCAUUUUUAUAGGACAGGAAGAUAUAUUUAUUUUUACGCCACCACAGUGAAUGUACUUAUGGGUUUUAUGCCAUGAGCAUACUCACAUGGGGCUUACUAUUUUUAACAUUUUUAUUUUCUUUUCAAGAUAGCAUGAACCUGAUUAACUAAGCAAACUAUUUUAAAUAAUUGAAAGGAAAAGGAUAACUACCAAGUUUACCUCUUGGCCAGGCGUUCGGUGUUUUUAAGUCCUCCGAACGGGACUCUCCGUUUUCUCAGUCGUCCUGGGAUUCGCUAGAUGGCGUAGUCGGUGGUUCCGGCGAUGCCUGCUCUUCAUGUAUAACUAUCUUCUCUCUACACACCUGACUCGGUGCUACGGUGUCCUCAGGAUAGUUCUGUUCAAGUUGUAUGUCUUCAGACCUUACAACUUCUCCUUCAUAGUCUACCCAUCCGUCCUUGAUGAUUUUGCCUUCUCUGGUUACGGUUGUGUCGUCUUCUUCUUGUCCUGACCUGCUUAGUGUCUUCAACUAUAUAAUUAAGGUCAGUAAAAUAGCGGCGUACCUUGUUAGAGGGGAAGUUCAUGUGGACUUCUCUGGUUCCAAUGUAGAUGAUUGCUUUAACGGUGCUGAGGAACGGUCUUCCAAGGAUGAUGGGUGGAUCGUACUCAUCUUCUCCCAUGUCAAUGACCUUUCGGAAUGUCUAAUCUGCCAUCUGGAGCUUAAUGUAUGUCGGUUUUAGGGGCAUGCUUCCGAACAGGAGUUGAUAGGUGACUGCGGCCAUUAUGUUGACGCCUGACCCGGUGUCGCAAAGCAUCUUUUGGAAGUUGUAUCCAUUGAUGGAGCACAGGAUGUUUGGCAUACUUGGGUUGUCCUUUUUGGUCAGGAAUGGUGACUUAAGUCGACGAUCUUGACCUCCUUGAGCUGCAGUGACCAUCUUAGCUGACUCAGUCCACAUUUGCUUGUUCUUGUUCCUCCUGUUGGUCCUCUUCCUUGGUUCAUGUCGGGAUUGCUCUGAGAUUUGUGUAAUCUUGUUCUUGAAGGAAAACGUCUCAUUUCUCCCUUUGAUGUAGAAACUGAUCUUGGCAGCACUAGCAUAGAUGACAGCUCCCGAGGUGUUCAGGAAUGGCCUCCCUAAGAUGGGUGCCCUCUCAUCAGUACCAGUCUCUAUCACCACAAAGUUUGCUGGGGCGUACAAGGUACCAACUCGGAUGCAGAGGUUCUUCAAUAUUUCCUUUGGGAAACUUAGUGUCUGAUCUACAGGCUGCAACCAAAUGGUUGUUUCUAGUAAAGGAUGUGUAAAGAAUUUUUCAUAGAGUACCUUGGGCAUAAUGUUGACGCUGGAGCCAAAGUCGCAGAGUGCUUCUUGGAAGUCCACCAUGCCGAUGGAGAUCGGGAUGACGGGGCGUCCUGAGUUGUCUCUCUUGACCGGCAGAAGGUCAGUAAUUACUUCCACAACGGGGUUACUCCAGUAGUUACGUCCUCAAGCAUCUCAGGGCAGUGAUUGCCUGAGUGUCCAGUAUCUCCAGUAUGUUUGUGCUCGGAGAUCUAUGUUCUUCACUUGGUGGAGUCUGGGAGUUGUAAAAGUCCUUCAUAUUUUGCUCAAAGUGUACCUACUCAUAGAGACAAGGCAGAGAUCAAGUGCAUGGGCCCUGUUGGUGGAAAACACCAACAGAACCAAAAGUGUAUUUGUUCUUCUCUAACCUCAAGCAUAGUGAGCAAGACAAAGUUGAUGGAUAAUAAGAUUAUGAGUGUAGUAUUUAAAACAUUUGUCAGAUCAGAUCACUCAACCUAAUGGAAAGAUAAUCUAUCUAUAUUUAUCUUUUGUUUAUAUCUUCCAAAGAUUGAAUGUGCAACAUUUUAGCUUAUAUGAUUAGGAGUGUGGAAUCAUAAAGGUGGAAAGACUAAACCUAUUGAAUCGACUGGGUUGGUUAUCUAUAGUUGUAAAUCAUACAUGUUUGUCUCUUUUAUUCAUGUGAACGCCAGAACUAAGGAGAAGCUUAUAGAAGUGAUAGUCAAGUACUUUAAGAUGUUACCUUACUUGAAGAGUGAUGGUACAGUAUCACCUUGUGGAAGCUUUCCUCUCUUAGCGGUUGUGCAUUGUGUUUGUGGCACCCUCCAUGGAUCAUCUCUUGUGAGCUAUGUCUUCCUUGUGUAAAUUGUUAAACUUCAUGUGUGUCUCUCUUUGUCUCCAAUGUGAGUUUAUCUCAGGAACUCCCAGGUUGAUAUUGAAAGUUUUCCUGCAGGGGUUAGUCCAACAAAAUAUCCAAUAUGCUUAAUUUAAAGUCCUUUGGAAGUAAGAUCAUCAUUCCUAAACUAAGCACCAUGCUUAAUUAAGAGAUAAAUGAAACUACUCCAAACCUAGACAUAUACUAAAGCAAAUAAAGGUAGCAUGAAAGGAUUUAUAGAGAUCUACUCAAGUGGAGAUGAAGUAGUGUGAUUAGUAUUUAACAAAUUGAGCAUGUUUCAAAGGUAGGGACAACCAACAUAGCAACAUGGUAAAGGAUGUUUUAUGUAAAGUACUCCCCCAAGCUUGAAUUUUUGCAAAAUUCAAGUUUGGAUGAAUUUAAUUCAAUGUUGUAUGAUAGUUGGUUGGACAUACCUUGUGCUUGUCAUUCAUCCGAUCAUCUUGCUCCAAUCCUGAAAAGGUUAGUGACAAGAAUACCCGAAGGAAUUUUCUACAAUUAUUCUUAUAUGCUCAACACUCAAGGUAAUGUUGCAAAUAGUUAAAAGCUCAUGUUACAAUCUGAUCAGUGCUUGUUUUAGGACACUAAGCUUGUCCUUGGGAAACCAUCGAUUUAUAUCGGCGAAGUGGUUUCCCCUCCAACGCUGACUUAUAUCAAUAUCAACUCAACGAGAUCUACAAUAUUUAAUAUAGACAUAUGCAUCGACAACCACCCUUUUACAGUUUUUAUAAAUAGAAAGGAUGAGGGGGUUGGAGAUCUCGAAUGUGGUGAUGUUGGAGAGACCAAUGGAUUGUGAAGAUGUUGCAUAUGAGCAUGGAGUAAAUGAAGUGGCUAUGAAAUAAAUUCCAUACUCAUUAAUGCUUAGAGUGAAAUCCAUGUGGUAUGGUGAAAAUGAUAAGGUGAGUGUGGUAAAAAAGGAAAAGAAAAAGGAUACACGGACGACUUGGUUCGAAACUAGCACAGCUACCGUUCCCCGGCAACGGCGCCAGAAAGCUUGUUGGAUAUUUUAAACGCAAACAGAAAAAUCUGCAAGCGCACGGAUACCGAUGUAGCUUUCACCCGGGAGUAUUCUAGAGUAUCGAUUUUCCACAGAGAACGUGAGUGUACUAAUUAAGAUCCAAGAUCGCCCAAGGAUAACUAUAUAACUAUUUUUUGGUGGGAAGAGAGGAAGUUUCCUGAGAGUUCUCUAGUUGAUCUAAGAAUCAAGAAUUACUUCAAGAUUAUCUAUAUCGGGACAUCAGAACACUAACCACAGAAAGAGAUGAGAAGGGGGCUAGGAAGCUCCGACUACGGUCCUACAAACACCGAUCCGAACGAGGUGGAAUACGUCGACCGUUAGGGCUGUCACUACCCUAAGGCUACCACAACAAUCCGCAAGAUUGGGUGCAAUUCUAGGUAAUUGCAAGACUAAAAACCACGUCUAAUCUAUUAAUUACUACUCUAAUGUUUCAAAGAUUAGAGCACUUGAUGCAAGCGGGAAUCCAAUAAAUAACUUGAAUGUAAAUAAAAGUAAUUAGAGAACUCAGGAGUUAUGAAUUGAAGAACCUGGAGAACGAUGAAGAACGAACCAGCUGCUGCAAAAGUACAAUGUUGAGGAAGAUCCGACAGAUCCGGCUCCUCCUCCGCUCUCCUCUUCUCUCUCCCUAUUUUCUAGAUUACAACUAGAACUAACUAGAACUAGAACUAGAGGAACUAGAACUAGAAGAACUAGAGGGAUCCUCUCUACUUGGAUGAAGAAUUGAAACCCUAACUUUGAUUCUGUAGAAGAGGUAUGAUCUCCAGGGGCCAGGGGGCCUUGCUUAUAUAGUCUUUUCAGAUGAAUCUGGGCCGUCGGAUCAAACCGACAUUGAUCGUGUGGUUUUCCUUGAAGUAUUAGGUCGGUGGAGCAUGAUCCCCGAACUUCACCCUGAUUGGUCCAGGGGGGAGGGCGGGCGCCCAAGGGACUAGGGCGGGCGCCCUGUGCCUGAGCCCUCUCGGCCUCCGCUUCGGUCCCGUGGCUUCUGGAGUCUUCUAGAUGGUAGAUAAUUGUGCGACAUGUUAAUAUCUCUAUGUAAACCCGACGUGUGGGCCUUUCUUCCAUAUUUCCUGAUAACCCCCUGCAGAAAUAGACAAACACCAAAACUUGUGGAAUUCUGUCAGAUAAACCCUAAGUCUAGGUGUUGGUUGCAUUUGGAUCCUUUUCCAUGAUUAAUUGAUGGUUAAAUAUGAGCAUUAAGGACCGUCAACACAGCUUCUCUAUUUUCAGCCAAGCGCAUAGCCUCAUCUCUCUCUCUAGUCAUUUGCAUCAUACGGGCUUGUGCCUCAUUGCACUCUCUAACUGCAUUCUCAACUUGGUUGCGGCGGGCUUGCAAAGCAGUAUGAUAGUUUUGGAUUUCAGCUUGGGCAUCCAUAAAAGCCUUGCAGUGCUUGCGCACGCGCUUGCGCAAUUUGCGCUGCCCAACUUGUGCUUGUUGAAGCGCUAGCAUGGCAUCUAUGUAGGUGUCCUGGCGUACAUAGUACAGCUUAAGUACCGCUAGCAUGGCACUCAUGGCAGGGCUAGAGCUAUAUCCUAACAAGGUUUCUCUCAUCUCUAAAGACUCAUUACCAACCUGGGACACAAAUUUGUCAGUCACACUCACUCUGGGAACGGAUCCUGCUGGGCCAUUCACUAGCUCAUCACCAUGCUCUUGGCAAAUCUCUAGCAAAACCUCCAGGGCUGCUACUUGGGCACCCUCCCAAGGAGUUUGGCCAUCACAGUCAACUAACCAACCUAGCCACUGUGGGUUAUUUGGACAUGGGGGAACUGUAAUUUGGACAUCUACCCAAGGUAAGGCUCCUGCAUGCUCAGCCUCGGUCCAAGUGUACUUAGGUGGUUCCUCAUAUCCAACUGAACUUAACACCCUCCACAACAAAGUAGGAGUGCCAAACAUGUCCAGGAAAGUCUCACUCGCGUGCGGGGUGUUGACGGUCCUUAAGUAUCAAAUUUAAUUAUCAAAUAAAUAAAGAAAAGGAUCCAAAUGAAAUCAAGAUCUAGACUUAAGGUUUUAUCUGACAGAAUUCCACGAGUUUUGGUGUUUGUCUAUUUCUGCAGGGGGUUAUCAGGAAAUAUGGAAGAAAGGCCCACAUGUCGGGAUUACGUAAAGAUAUUAACGUGCUGCGCAAUUAUCUUACAUCUAGAAGACUCCAGAAGCCACGAGACCGAAGCGGAGGCGAAACGGGGCCUGACCCUGGGCGGCCGCCCAGUUGGUCAGGGCGCCCGCCCACCUCCUGUGUCCAAUCAGGACUCUGCUUUGCGGGAGAUCUCCACCGACCUAAAGGAUGAAUCUAAACCAUACAAUCUAUAUCGGUUUGAUCCAAGGGCCCAUAUUCACUUGAAGGGACUAUAAAACCAGACCCCCUGGCCCCUGGAGGAGAGAGCCUCUCAACCCUAAUUCAUUGUUCCAUCAAGGGAGAAGAAGCCUCUGAUCAAGAUUAGAGCCACCACAUCAAUUAGACAUCUAGAUUAGCAUAGCUACAUAGGAUUAGAACUAGAAGGAGUCAAUCUUCGAUUGGUUUCCGGAUCUGUCACGAGAAUUCUUGGUAAUUCUCUAAUUGUGCUUCUAAUUGCUUUCUAAUUAUCUUUGUUCUUCAAUAUUAUGAAUAUGACUUUGUUCUACUUCAAUAUAUUGCUUAUGACUUUGCUCUACUUGUUUAUAUUCAAGAUUAUAUUGUUCUUAGUUUAUCAUAGUUAUGUACUUGGCUUAGUUAGAUACGAUCUAUAUACAUGCUUAGGAUCGUAUAGCGUUUAUCCAUCGGAUCCAUGGGUAAAUGAUAGAUAUUGUGUAGGCGUGGUGCUUAUACCGUAUUUAUCUGCUAUUGUACCCAAUAUGCCAGAUCGUGGGGUGGUUCGUGAUAGUGACAGCUUCAUUGAUUCUUAUAUAGUCCCCCUCUCGUGUAUUGGGCUGGCAGAGCAACAUUAUUACAGGGGAGUGAUUGCUAUGUUUCUCAUAUUCCUUGCUAAUAUCACUAUGCAUGGGCGUAGUCUUGUCUCGCAAUGAUUGCUAAGUAUGCUUGCACUAACUAUGAUAAUGCUAGACUAUAUAGUUAAGAAUAACUUAGGGAAUAUUCUUGUAGUUCGUUCUAAUACCAUGCUAAUGGCUUUCUAGAGUAUCUAAUUGAGGUGCUUAUCAUAUUUAUUAUGUGGCUAGAUCAGAUUAGUUAUCCUUGUCACUAUUAUUAUUUCAUAUAUCCUUUAUGUGACACUUAUCCCUGUAUGAUGAGUUAGAUAUAAUGUUCUCAAUUAUACAUGCAAUGAUAGAUGCUCAAUCUCAUAUUCUAUUCUGUAAUCAAUAGUGAUGAUUGCUAAUCCCUUCCCAGUGGUAAAAAUAAAAAUAACGAUACCUGGAAUACUUUCCGGUUAAAAUGCUGCAUCGGUAUUAAUCUGUGCGCUUGCAAAUCCCAUUCAUUAUUUAUUUAGAAGAGCAAUUGCAUAUUUCAAUACCGCGUCUCUUAUAUCAUGCUGGGGAUGACAACUUGGCUUAAGUGGUGUGAGGGAUAGGUUUGGCAUUUUUAGCACCGUUACUAGAUUAGAGAACUUAGUCUACUUUUGGUAAUGAUGUUAAGAAUACCCAACAAGCAUUUUUUGGCGCCGUUGCCGGGGAAGGUUAAUUACUAAUCAGGAAUGGAAUAAAGGAUUUUGAGUUAUCAUUUGCAUCACUAAUAUGAUUGAGCUUAUCUAUUCUCUCAUACAGUUUUACCCCGAUAUUUUUCUAUUUUAUCUUAUGCAGGGGAAUGUAUGAAUAGAAGACAUCUUCCAGGAAAUUUUGUUGACAAUCCUGAAGCAUUAUUCAAGAAGACGAGAGCCAAGCUAAAGAAAUCAUCAACACUUCAGCAAUAAGCUUCAUCCAAUCAAGAAGAUCACCGGAACUUGUCUUCAGAGUUAGAGGCCAUGGCGAACAAAUCAAUCCGCGAGUUCUCAGCUCCCACUAUGGACAACAUCCGCACGGGACCUGCUACAGAGAUCGAUAGCAACUUUGAGCUCAAGCCUAGACUUAUCAACAUGGUGCAAUCCAACCAGUUCUGUGGGAAGGCACACGAAGAUGCUAGUGCUCAUUUACAACACUUCCUGGAGAUUUGCAACACAUUCACCAUACAAGGAGUUUCCAAAGAUGCUAUACUACUUCGCCUCUUCCCAUUCUCACUGUUAGGAAGAGCGAAGCAGUGGUUCUACGCUACAAAGGAGAAGAAUACUACCUGGGCACUCUGCUCAACAAACUUCCUGGCAAAGUUCAUUCCCAUGGGCAAGACUAAUGCUCUCCGUGGGAAGAUUACAAGUUUUCAGCAACAAAAUGAUGAAUCUGUUCCAGAAGCAUGGGAGCGCUUUCAAGACUACAUCCUAGAAUGUCCCCAUCAUGGAAUGGAGAGUUGGCUAUUGAUGCAGACAUUCUAUCAUGGGCUCAGUAAUAGUGCCCGAGAGACCAUGGAUGCUACAGCUGGAGGAGCAUUCUUAUCACGUACUAUAUCACAAGCCACAGCUCUUGUGGAGAAGAUGGCGUCCAACCAAAGCUGGAAUGAAGAGAGGACCCAGACACGCAAGAGAGGUGGAGGUAUGCAUCAGCUGAAGGAGGUAGACAUGCUGUCUGCAAAGCUAGACCUGCUCAUGAAGAAGCUCGAUGAUAGAGCUGGAGACAAGAAAGAAGUUAUGCACAUCUACGACUCUCACAUGACUUGUGAGGAGUGUGGAGACACUGGACACUCAGGCAAUCACUGUCCUGAGAUACUUGAGGAUGUGAACUACAUCAACAACAACAACAACUACUACUACUACAACCGUCCUCAACAAAAUCAAGGUUGGAAUCAACAGAGGCCUAACUACUCAGGUAAUUAUCAAGGUAACAAUUCUUACAACAAUAACAAUAAUUUUCCACCUUUGAGAGAGUUAGUAUCUAAUCAAGGAAAGCUAAUGGAUAACCUAUCUAAGAAAUUGGCAUCUAAUGACAAAAUGCUAGAAAAUAUAAAUAAUAGAAUGGAUAAUUUCUCUACUGCCAUCAAGAAUCAAAUUAGCUUUAAUAAAAUGAUUGAAUCUCAGUUAAAUCAAAUAGCUGCUGCUGUUCCUACUACUAACCCCGGUAUACCAUCACAACUGGAAGGAUUAGAAUCUGCAAAUCUUGUAGACGUGUUUGAUGCAGGUAAUUGGAGUAACCCCGUCAAUGAAUUUUCUACUGACCUUUUGCCGGUCAAGAGAGGCGAUCCAGGACGCCCCGUCAUCCCGAUCUCCAUCGGCAUGGUGGACUUCCCAGAAGCACUCUGUGACUUUGGCUCCAGUGUUAACAUUAUACCCAGGGUACUCUAUGAAAAAUUCUUUACAUAUCCUUUACUAGAGACAACCAUGUGUUUGCAGUUUGCAGAUCAGACGAUAACUUUCCCAAAAGGAAUAGUGAGGAACCUUUGUAUCCAAGUUGGUACCUUGUAUGCCCCAGCAGACUUCGUAGUGGUAGAGACCGGAAAUGAUGAGAGAGCACCUAUCAUCCUAGGGAGGCCAUUCUUGAAUACCACGGGAGCUAUCAUCUACGCCAGUGCUGCCAAGAUCAGUUUCUACGUCAAAGGGAAGAAGGAGACAUUUUUCUUCAAGAACAAGACUACACAAAUUCCAGAUCAAUCCAGACGUGAAUCAAGGAAGAGGACCAACAGGAGGAAUAGGAACAAGCAAGUGUGGGCCGAGUCAGCUAAGAUGGUCACUGUAGCCCAUGGAGGCCAAGAUCACCAACUUAAGUCACCGUUUUUGACCAAGAAGGACGACCCAGGAAUGCCAAGCAUUUACUGCUCCAUAAAUGGAUACAACUUCUACAAGACAUUUUGUGACACCGGAUCGGGCGUCAACAUAAUGGCCGCAGUCACCUAUCGGCUCUUGUUCGGGACCAUGCCACUAAGACCAACAUACAUUCAGCUCCAGAUGGCAGAUCAGACAUUUCGAGAAGUUAAAGGAAUAGUAACUGAUGUCCCAGUCAAAAUAGACGAUCACUUUGUCUACACAAACUUUCAGGUUAUUGACAUGGGAGAAGAUGAGUACGAUCCACCCAUCAUCCUUGGAAGACCGUUCCUCAGCACCGUUAAAGCAAUCAUCUACAUUGGAACCGGAGAAGUCCAUAUGCACUUCCCCUCAGAGAAGGUAUGCCGUUAUUUUACUGACCCUGACUAUAUCGUUGAAGAAUCUAAGCAGGUCAGAAAGAGACACAACCGCAACCAGAGGAGGCAGAUCAUCAAGGACGGAUGGGCAGACUAUGAAGGAGAAGUUGUAAGGUCAGAAGACGUUGAAUUUAAACAGAAUUAUCCAUAGGAGAUUGAAGCAUCAAGUCAGGUGUGGAAAAUGAAGAUAACUAUACAUGAAGAGGAGGCGCUGCCGGAAGUACCGACUACGCCACCCAACGAACCUCAGGACGAUUAAGAAAUUGGAGAGUCUCGUUCGGAGGACUUAGAAACACCGAACGCUUUGCUAAGAGGUAAACUUGGUAGUUACCCUUUCCCUUUCAGUUAUUUCAAAUAGUUUGUUUAGUUAAUCAUGCUUAUGCUAUCUUAAAAAGAAAAUAAAAAAUGUGAAAAACUGUAAGCCCCAUGUAAGUAUAUGAGUGGCAUAAAACCCAUAAGUACAUUCACUGUGGUGGCAUAAAAAUAAAAUAAAUAUUUUUUCUGCUUUAUAAAACAAAAAUAUAAAAACAGGGAGUAAUAAUUAUUAAGGAGUCUCAAGAUGAUAAAGGCUAGAUAUUUAUGCUAACACUUAAUCAGUUCCACAAGCUUUGUUGUCUAUUUGAGCUCCGCAGAAUUUAAGAAUCAAGAAGACUAGCAGACGGAGGACAUUCUAAUCGCUGUCACAAUGCUGCUGACUUUCAAAUACACCUCUGCCACCUGCUAGCUACACCAAGAGAAAUUACGUCAAAAUUCAGCUUGGGGGAGAGCACCCCCAUUUAUCACGAUAAGUAUUUCUAUCUAUCUUUAUACUUAUAUUAUUUUAGAAUAUUAAAAUACACAUAAACUAUGGGAAAACCAAAUAAAGAUUUUAUGCUUAUAUAUAUCUUUUGCUUAGUGUGUUUAAUAAAUAAAUCAAGUGGCUAUGCUAAUCUGUAUCUAAAUAAAACUUAAGCAUGGAUAUGAUAAAUAGUUGCUCUACCUAAUUUGCAAAUUUUAAGUUCUCUCUCAAGUUUAGAUAUAACUGUUAUAAUUUAAAGCUUGCUCUAGACCUAAACUUGUGGGAUGAAAACUUGAUCUGAAGUCUAAGUUGUUAACGGAUAUGAUAUGGGAAGGUUGAGCUGCUGUUUAUCUGUUCCUAGAGAUGCUAGAAUUCUGGAGAAUUUUAUCUUUGAAAAUCUUUAAAAUGUUGCAUGAUGAGUUCCUGUAUGAUGAGAGUUUAAAUUCCUACCACAGCCAUAUAUACAUGCUUGCUAGACUUUGAGCCACACAUUUAAUAUUUACUGCUUAUGAGCAUUGUCGGUGUUUUUCCCCCGGGGGGUCACACCAACGAGUAAAUUUGUAUGCGUGCUCCCCUUUCCGGAUGGUGAUGCAAGAAGACACAGAGAUUUAUCCUGGUUCGGGCAAGAGAAGGCCCUACGUCCAGCGGGGGGAGAGAGUUUGUAUUAUCUUGCACCUAAGUGCUUGUACAGGGGCGAAUACAAGCGUGGUAUGAAGUGUCUAGCUCUACUACGUGUGUGUGCUCGCUCUUGUGUUGGGAUGUCUAUAUCUUCUAUUCCUGAGUCCCUCCUUUUAUAGCUCCAAGGAGAGACACAGGGUACAUGCAUAGAUGUUAGAGUAGGGAUCGAUAGCCGCAUGGAGCGCUGACCUACUCGAGGCUUCCGUACGGCAUGGCCUCGAGCCGUCCCAUCUUGAUAGCUCGGUGAUGAUUGCGCGUGCUCAUGUGUUCUGCCCUGCCAGCCGCCUCGUGCUGGUUCUGAGGUCGCACGCUUGUACGGUAUGGUGGCGGACACGACGGGGUAGCUGUGAUGAAGUCAGUCGACGCCCAACUUGUCCCUGGGAAGGGGCCCUGUUUGGUCGAGGGUCGGACGCCGUGUAAUAUGCUGGCGUCUGGAGCGCUGACCUUGGGUGUCUCGAGGGGGUCCCGAUUAGACGUUUCAUCCUUGUUUCCUGCGUCCUGACACGCCCUGGGUCGUUCGGUGGGAAAGCUGCAAAAAGAACGAUGGGACAGAAGCUUGCUCCCUAUCACGCCUUCCGUGACCUGUGUGUUAGGUGGGGAAGCGUCAGGCGCAUUUAAUGCUCCGGCCCGCGUGCGCGCGUCGGGCGGCGGACAGUGUCCUCGCGCCCGACACCUCUUGGUUCGCUCGAGCCUGCUUCCGUCAUCGACGGCAGUCGUCGCUCGAAUCCUGAACCGAUUCGCUCGACGCUAUUUCCGUCUUCGAGGCUGCGACCGUCGAUGGCAGCGCAUACGUAAGAUUAGAGCGUCGAAUUAAGGGUCUCGACCUUCGUACGGUCAAUCUCAUAAUGCGCAUCGCUGAGGGUACCCCUUACCGAUACCCUCGACAGUAGCCCCCGAGCCUCCAUUUGAGCGCUAGCGCUCGAGUGGAGGCUUUGUUUUGCGGUCGAAUUUCCGUGGGGGCGCGCGAGCGAACCCGCGGGGGUAGCCCCCGAGCCCUCGGGGGAGUUUUUGACUCAUUCGAGGGCUAUGUUCUCUAAUUCGCAGAAACGCUUUCGACGCCAGUGGUGGAAGGUUCCGAUUGGCUAGUUUUUGCCCGGGGGUUUCGACGUACUCUCGAUAGAGCGAGCGUCUUCCAUCCCAAAUUGAGUUCCUAGCGGGUAGUCCAAGUGAGAACCUGUGCCCCUUUCGAGGGGGUCAGCUGUAGCCCGGAGGCGUCCUCAUAAAGCAGGGUCGACGUGGUCGGGGAUACUGGUCUCAUUCGAUAGAGUCCAGCGGCUCGAUGCCUCCCUUCGGGGGGAUUCCUCUCGACUGUCUCGACCCUACCUUGAACAUCGCCAGCGAGUCCUCGAGGCGGGCCUCGAUCUUCGACCGCUCGCUGGGGAUCCCUGACUCUGGCGCUCGAGAUCGGCUGUCGAACCCUUUCGGCGGGCCAGCCAUCGACCUCUCGAGACUUUUGCGGUUAUGUCCCUUGGCUUACGAGGGAAGGAAACGGUCGUGGCGGUUCGCCUUUCUGCCCGUUGGGCGCGUCUUUUUAGGCGGAUGACGUUACGACACCGUAUCGGCGAGGAAUUCGGAGAGUCCGGCCUGUGAGGAGAGAGAGAGAGCUGUUAGGCGGCGCAUUUAUGGGGGGGAGUUACCUUACUUCUCGGAUCUGUCCGUUGGCGGACAGCUGCCUAUAAAUACGUCGUCGCGUCACCGCCGUUCCUCUCCCUUCCGCCUUCUUGCUCUUGUUCCUUUGCUGCCUUUGCUUUCUCGUCAUCUCACGCGCACACGCCCCCUCGAGCUGUAGCGAACCCACCGUCCCGUCAGCCGAGAUGCCUGUAAGACUCGUCGCCGCCGACGACUGGCGCCCGUCGUCGAUGACGGAGCGCCGGCUGUUAGAGCUCGAGAAGGAGGGACUGCUGCGCCGUCGCCAGAAUGGAUCGCGCCGCCAGCGAGCCACAGGGCGCCUCAGCCACCCGAAGGCUACGUGGUGUCGUUCGCCAAGUUUCACCGCCACGGUUUGGGCGCGCCUCCAAGCCGCUUCAUGCGGGCCCUCUGCUUCCAUUAUGGGGUGGAGCUGCAGCACUUCUCUCCGAACGCCAUCACCGUGGCGGCGGUCUUCGCCGCCGUGUGUGAGGGCUUCCUAGGGAUGAUGCCGCACUGGGAGCUGUGGCUCCACCUCUACAGGGGCGAGCUGUUUCACGCCUCCACCGGAACCACGGGCGUGAGGAAACCCGUGCGAGCGGGUUGCCUCAAUCUGGUGCAGAAGACGGGGAAGACGGACCGGCCGCGGGAGUACAUCCCGGUAGGGUUGUCGACCAACCACGCCGGUUGGGACUCCCAAUGGUUCUACCUGCGGAACGACGACAACCUCCUACCUUCCUACUCGGGCCGUCUGAUCUUGGAGCGCCCAGCGGACUGGACGUACGGCGUCGUCCAAGCUCAUCAGCCUCGGCUCGACCCUCUCCUCGACGCCCUGAAGAAGCUUCGCCAGGAAGGUUUGACUGCCGCCCUCGUCCUCUCGGCCGUCCAUCAUCGGAGAGUUCUCCCUCUGAUGUCGCGACCGCUGAGGAUGGACGAGAUGGGCCCUGGCGUCUUGUCUUGGGACCUCGAGGCAUGUCGGAUGUCCAGCGAGCCUCCGGCGGACGAUGAAGUCACGGCCCGAGUCAGGGCCGCAAUUGCCGGUGAUUUUAAGCCGGAGCAUGUCAACGGCUUCCCCAUGAGACCUGACGCGGGCUCGAUCGAUCUGGUGCGCUUUCUUCUUGCGCGCAUCCUCGAUUCUAGGUUUCCCCUCUCCCCUCUCUUUUUUUUCUAAGUCUACCUUAGUUUUGGCAGGGUCAGAUUGAUGUCCGGUCCUCGAGGCCUCCAGUAAAGGAGGACGAGGUCGAUCGCGACAAACGGCGCCAAUCCGCCGAGAAGCUGAAGUCUGCCAAGGACUCCGCAAAGAAGGGGGAGAAGAAGAAGAAUCUCGACCGCCAAGCAUUAGAGGUGCGUCGAGCCAAAUCCAGGCAGAGGGGGGAGCCUGAGGAAGAAUCCCCCAACGAUGACGAUGACGACGACGAGAGUAGCGAUGACUCCGAGGGGAUGGCGUCGCGCCUCGAUCGGAUCCUCGAGGGCCCGCCUCGAGGUGACGUCGACGCCCCCCGGACGGAGGCGCUGGAGGAGGGUCCGAGCGGAUCUCGUCGUCCCCGGCCCGACGCUCCUUCCGCGCUCAAGGCGGGCCAAGACGCACCGCGCCCUCCCCUGGCGCCCAGGGAGAGCGGUCCGGCUAGGUCCCAGGCGUCGGGGCCGCUAACCCGUGGUCGCGCUGCGGCCUCUGAGAAAGGAGACGCCGGCCGUAGGAGCGCGAGUCCCGGCGCCCGCCAGGCGGGGUCCGACGUACCUAGGCCGGUUUCUGCCCUCGAGGGGCCUAGCGCCCCGACGCGGGGUGGCUCGAGGCCCGCUGGUCGGGGUGGCGGAAGGCGAGCCGUUCUGCCCGUGGGGUAAGCCCUUUUGUUGUUGCGGUCUUUGUCCCCCCAUUCUUUCACCUUUCCUCACGUGCUGACUUUUUCUCAGGCUGAAACGGACCCUCGAGCAGGCCCAACCAUCGAUGGCCAAGAGGCUCAGAACGGGUGCCGCCUCCACGGAACUAGGUUCGUAGUUAAUUCCUGGGUGUCGCGAUAUUAUUACGUCGGUUAUCAUAACGUCUGACCCUUACCCUUUGUUUUGUAGGCUCGUCAAGCACCCAACCUCCAGCCGGCGUCGAGAUUGUUUCACCUCGUCCCGCGCCUACUCCGCCGCCACCGACUCAUGAUGCGGCCCCCCAGACGCGAGCGUCAGAAGGAGCCCCCAAGCCCUCUCGAUUGGGGGUCGAGGGGGAACCCAUCACCAUCAGCGAUACGUCUGAUGGCAACGAAGCGUCUGGGGGCGCUCGACCCAUGGAGGAGGAAGUGUCGACUCCCAACGUCGCGGGACGAACUCCCUGGCCCGCGGGUCUUCGAGCCCUCGAGGCGCAAAGGAAGAUGGUGGAGGAGGAGGGGCGGGAGCGUGAGGCGACGCAGCCGUCACUGGAGCAGCAGCAGCAGCGACCCCAGCCGAAGGGGCAACUGCAGCAUCAGCAGGAGGAGCCGCAGCAGCAGCUGGGGCAGCAACAGCAGCUGGGGGGCCAAGAGAACGAGCCACUCGAGCCCCCGCCUCAAAUUUUGGCCGAACCGGCGCCGCUGGCGUCGCAAGAGCCCGGCGAUCAAGAGGGAGAUUUGCCGGUGUACGGGCCUCCCACCCCAGCGUGGCUCCUCCCGGGGGCGCCUGCCGCGAUCCGGGCAGAGUCGGGGCGAGCGGACGGAGUGGUGGCGCUCGCCUGCAUGAUGCGCACCCCCACCGACCCCGAGUCCGAGAUCAAGAGGACACUCUACGGCAUGGACGGGAUUGCCCCAGGGUUCCUCCGGGAGCGUCGAGCGUGGGAGGACCGCUUUCCCUCUGAGGAGGACGAGAUCGGGUCGUCUGGGAGCAAGGACGGUACGUGGAAGACGGUGGAUGACGACGGGCGGUUCCCUUGCCUCGCCGACCUGUUCUUGCGCCACGGGGGUUCCCUCGAGACCGUCGAGAACUUUCUCCGCGGCGUCAAGGUGCGGGCUGAUCGGGAAAUGGAGAACUGGUGUCCCGAUCGGAUUCGUAUCCGAGCUUCCAGCGACCCGUCCGAGCCCAAUAUCUUCCUUGAUGACAAGAAGGAGGUCGAGAAGUGGGAGCAUGUCGAGGAGCUCUGCCUUUGGAUGAAACACGUGGUGGGGCUCCUAUCGGACGUCAUCAACAACGGGCUCGGGCCAGCUUAUUUUGUAAGUGUUUCUUGAAUUCCAAUCUUUAUGGUGCUCUCUGGUUUCCGUAUUCUAAUCCAUCCGACCCCUGAUUCGCAGGAUAUGAAAGAGACCUCUCGCAUUAAAUCCAGCUUCAUACAUGCCACGAGGGGCGGAUGGGAGCAGCUUCCCCUCCUCAAGGAUCAACUCCUCGAGUCGCAGGAAAACCUGCUUAAGGCUUACAAAGAUCUCAUAGCACUCGAGGAGGAGAAGAAGGCGAGGGAGGCAGCUCUGGCCGAGGCCCGGGAGGUCUCGAAGAAGGCGGAGGAGGAGGUGAUGCGGCUACGGGAGCGGGCUCUUACGGUCGAGGAGGCCGCGUCCAGAGCCCGGGAGGAGGCCCUGUCCUACCAGAGCGUCAUUGCGGAUCUGGACAAGGAGAAGGGCCUUCUCCAAACCGACCUGGACUCCCUCCGCGAUACCUUCCAGAAGAUGAAGGUGGCGUACGUGGACAAUGAGGUCGCCAGGGGUGCCGCCGAGGACGCAAAGAAGAAAGCCCUCGAAGACCUCGAGAUGGAGCGAGCUCGAUCCCGUAGUCUCUCUGACGACGUCGAGCGUCUGAAGGGAGAACUGCUGGAGAAGAGUGGAGCCGUCGCUCAGGCUGGCAGGGUGAUCGAAGGUCUCCGCGUCGCCAAUACUGAGCUGACGCGCUCCAACAGAGAGAUCGAGCGUGGCAACACCAGAUUGGUUGGCGAGAACACGGCUCUAGAGGAGAGCAUCAAAGGUAUGUUCCCUUUGUCGAAUUUCCUUUUCGAGGUAUGCUUGAGUUUUUCCUAAAGCUCCUUUGUAUUGGCAUUUGUAGGGCUCAAGGACGAACUCCUGGCCGCCCAAGCCGAGGCUCGCAACGCCAAGGCUCAACUCGAGGCUGAGGUUGCUUUGAACCGUCGAGUGCGGACGGCGAUAAGCGAUCUCUCGACAUCUUGGGAGGUCGAGCCUAUGGAUGAGUCGAGGGAGGACUCUCGAGGCGACGCACUGGUCGAUCAGCUGUGCUACUUAGGUGCGACGCUGCGAGAUCGGGUGCGGGAUGCCCUCCACAUCGGGUGAAGCGGGCGAUGGCGGUUGUCUGCUCGGGCUUCUCCUACGACAUGGAGGUAGUAUCCCACGGCUUCGUCACCGACAUCUCUAAGACCGACGCGGAGAACGAAGAAAGGCUUCACGCUUUGAUCGACGACGCGGAGGCUCCUGGAGAGAGGCUGGCCAAGCUAUUUGAGCCUGAGGUGCUUCCUCCUGAGACUGGCUCGGGCGGAGGUGAGGGUGGCGAGGAUCGUACCAUGGACUGAGGCCUGCGAGCCUGCUCGGGGUGCCUGGGGCCCCUUGUAUAAGACUUUGUUAAUCCUGUUUUUAAGCGAUACAGUAUUUUUGUGGUUGUUAAAUGUUUGUUUGUCUUUCCACUCGAGGUUCUUUUAUUUCUUUUUGCGCCUACAUAUGUGUUCCUUGUUCGAUUUUUCGUAAAAGACAUCUUCGAUCGCCUCGAGGGUGAGGGAGUGAGUAGAGUUUCCAUAGCCCGGGGGCGUAGGUGUUCUCAGGCUCGCUAUCCUUCGGUCCUCGAGGGGCUCGAGGCGCCUCGACUACUCGAUCGUUCAAGGUUUACUAAGUAGGAAAGAGAGAAACUUUUUGGCUUUUUUGACGCUUGGGGAGGGGUCGUCCCUCUGGUAGCCCCCGAGGGGGUGCGGACUAUGAUGGGUCAUGGUCGGCAUCCCCUUUUGAUGUCGAGACUAUAACUCGUAACUAUUUUUGGUGCAGAAAGAAACCGCUCGAGGGAAAGAUUUUAUUUAUUCAUGCGUUCAUUUACAAAGUCUUCGUACAAAAAGUAGGAUCGUAAAUCUAGGACUUCUAGGGGUAGAAUCGACGUAGCUGUUCGAUGUUCCAUGCGUUGGUGAAGACCGCCCCCUUUUCGUCCGCCAAUUUGUACGUUCCUGGCUUAAGGACCUCGGCCACCACGUACGGGCCUUCCCAAGGUGGGGUCAGCUUGUGGCGUCCUUGGUUGCUUUGCCGGCGUCGUAGGACUAGGUCGCCUACGUUGAGGUCCCUCUUGCGCACGUGCUUGUCGUGGUAGCGUCGGAGUCUCUGCUGAUAUCUAGCAGAGUUGAGGAGGGCCAUAUCUCGAGCCUCCUCGAGUUGGUCGACCGCGUUUUCCUGAGUCUCUUUGUUCGAUUGCUCGUUGUAAGCCUUGAGUCGUGGUGACCCAUAUUCGAGAUCUGUGGGGAGGAUGGCUUCAGAGCCGUAGACCAUGAAGAAUGGGGUGUAUUUUGUGGCCUUGCUUGGCGUUGUCCUAAGGCUCCAUAGGACUGAGGAAAGCUCCUCGACCCACUUCUUGCCGAAUUUCUUCAAUCGAUUGUAGAUUCUUGGCUUGAGUCCUUGCAGAAUCAUGCCGUUGGCACGCUCGACCUGGCCGUUAGUUCGAGGGUGGGCUACUGCGGACCAGUUCACACGGAUGUGAUGCUGAUCGCAGAAAUCCAAGAACUUUCUGCCAGUGAACUGGGUGCCGUUGUCGGUGAUGAUGACAUUGGGGAUCCCAAACCGAUGGAUGAUGUCGGAGAAGAAGAGGACGGCCUGCUCGGAGCGGAUGUUGGUGAUGGGUCGAGCCUCGAUCCAUUUGGAGAACUUGUCGAUAGCCACCAGCAAAUGGGUAUAUCCUCCUUUCGCUUUUUGUAGAGGCCCUACUAAGUCGAGCCCCCAUACCGCAAACGGCCAGGUGAUGGGGAUCAUCUGAAGAGCGUGUGCGGGCAGGUGCGUCUGUUUGGCGUAGAAUUGGCACCCAUGACACGAGCGUACGAGCUCGAUGGCAUCCGCCACGGCCGUUGGCCAGUAAAAACCUUGCCGGAAAGCGUUUCCUACAAGGGUUCGUGGGGCGGCGUGGUGGCCGCAAGCCCCCGAGUGCAGGUCGUCGAGGAGUUUUCGGCCUUCCUCUACGGUGAUGCAACGUUGUAAGACCCCCGUCGGGCUCCGUCGAUAUAGCUCGUUGUCUUCGCCAUAGAUCACAUAUGAUUUGGCCCGUCGAGCAAUACGACGAGCUUCUGUCCUGUCUUUUGGCAACUCACCGCGGAUAAGGCAGUCGAGGAACGGUGUGCGCCAAUCGAAUGGUCGACCCGGUUGUCGUUCUAUUUCCAUCACCUCUUCCUCCAUCAAGAGCGCAUCGACAACAUUGGUAGGUUGGGCGAUGGUGGUGUCGACGCCAGCCCCCGUGCCUAGGUCGACGGAUGGCUCGUGUAGAUCCUUUGAGAAUGCAUCAGGCGGCACUGUGCCUCUGGUAGAUGCAAUCUUGGCGAGUUCGUCGGCUGCCUCGUUGUAGCGUCGAGCGACAUGGACAAGCUCGAGGCCGUGGAAUUUGUCUUCGAGUCGACGCACCUCCUUGCAGUAUGCUUCCAUUUUUGGGUCAUGGCAACUCGAGGUUUUCAUUACCUGGUCGAUGACGAGUUGGGAGUCGCCUCGGACGUCGAGGCGUCGGACUCCUAACUCGAUAGCGAUUUUGAGACCGUUGACGAGGGCCUCAUAUUCUGCGACAUUGUUAGAUGCGGCGAAAUGAAUCCUGAUUAUGUACCUCAUGUGGACGCCCAAGGGUGAGAUGAACAGUAGGCCGGCCCCGGCCCCAGUUUUCAUGAGUGACCCGUCGAAAUACAUUGUCCACAGCUCCGCCUGGACCUGAGUUGGGGGAAGCUGGGAGUCCGUCCAUUCCGCGACGAAGUCUACCAGGGCUUGCGAUUUGAUGGCCUUUCGAGGCGCGUAAGUGAGAGUCUCGCUCAUGAGCUCGACCGACCACUUAGCUAUUCUUCCCGUGGCCUCCUUGCUCUGGAUUAUCUCGCCCAAGGGGAAAGAAGAGACCACCGUGAUAGGGUGACCAAGGAAGUAAUGUUGCAGUUUGCGGCGGGCAAGGAUUACGGCGUAGAUCAGCUUCUGGAUUUGGGGGUAACGCGCCUUGGUCUUCGAAAGCACCUCGCUGACGAAGUAGACUGGCCUUUGGACCGGCAGCGCGUGACCCUCCUCUUGUCUUUCGACCACCACCGCCGCGCUGACGACCUGGGUCGUCGACGCGACGUAGAGGAGUAGCGGCUCCGCAGGUUGAGGUGGAACCAGGACUGGUGCCGAGGUCAGCAUCUUUUUCAGUUUUUCAAGUGCUUCCUCGGCCUCGGGGGUCCAAGAAAAGCGCUCGACCUUCUUUAGGAGUCGAUAUAACGGUAAUGCCUUUUCUCCUAGCCUCGAGAUGAAACGGCUCAGAGCCGCCAGGCACCCCGUGACUUUCUGUACACCCUUGAUGUCUCGGAUCGGCCCCAUUCUCGUGAUGGCCGAGACUUUCUCGGGGUUGGCCUCGAUGCCGCGCUGUGAAACAAUGUAUCCUAGGAGCAUGCCUCGAGGCACGCCGAAAACGCACUUCUCGGGAUUAAGCUUGAUCCGGCUGGUGCGUAAGCAGCUGAAGGCAACCUCGAGGUCCUGGAUCAGGUCUCCUCGUUGCUUUGACUUGACGACAAUGUCGUCGACGUAGGCCUCGACCGUUGAGCCUAUAUGUUCGCCAAAUACGUGGAGCAUGCAACGUUGAUACGUGGCUCCCGCGUUUCGAAGCCCAAAUGGCAUGGUCACGUAGCAAUACAUCCCGAAAGGUGUGAUGAAAGAGGUCGCGAGCUGGUCGGACUCUUUCAUUUUAAUUUGGUGAUAACCAGAAUAAGCAUCAAGGAAAGAAAGGGUUUCACAUCCCGCGGUAGAAUCGACAAUCUGAUCUAUGCGUGGCAAUGGAAAGGGAACUUUCGGACAUGCUUUAUUCAAACUAGUAUAAUCGACACACAUCCUCAUUUUCCCAUUCUUUUUCUUAACUAAUACAGGGUUCGCUAACCAGUCAGGAUGAUGAACCUCCUUGAUGAAUCCGGCCGUCAAAAGCUUGUGGACUUCCUCGCCAAUGAUCUUGCGCUUUUCCUCGUCGAAUCGGCGCAACCGCUGCUUCACUGGCUUGGAACCGGCUCGAAUCUCCAAGGAGUGCUCGGCGACUUCCCUCGGUAUGCCCGGCAUAUCCGAGGGACUCCAUGCAAACAUAUCAGCAUUUGCACGGAGAAAGUCGACGAGCACGGCUUCCUAUUUGGGGUCGAGGUCGGUGCUGAUCGUCAGCACCUUGCCGUCGGAGUUGUUGGGGUCGAGCGGGAUCUUCUUAGUUCCUUCCGCCGCCUCAAAGCUGCCCGCAUGACGUUUAGGCUCUGGAGCCUCAGCGGCCAUGGCCUCGAGCUUUGCAACGAGCUCGGUGGAGCUCUCGACCGCCUCCCCGUACUCGACGCACUCGACGUCGCAUUCGUACGCGUGCUCGAAGGAGGAACUGACGGUGAUGACGCCUUUGGGACCAGGCAUCUUCAGCUUCAAGUAUGUGUAGUUGGGUAUAGCCAUGAACUUGGCGUAGCCCGGGCGCCCGAUGAUGGCGUGGUACGUGCCUCGGAACCCAACCACCUCAAAAGUGAGGGUCUCCUUCCUGAAGUUGGCCGCCGUGCCGAAGCAGACCGGUAGGUCGAUUCGACCUACUGGCAGUGCCUUUUUCCCCGGUACGACGCCGUGGAAACCGCCGGCGCUCGGCUGGAGGCGUCCUCUAUCGAUGCCGAGGAGGUCGAGGGUCUCGAGGUAGAUGAUGUUGAGGCUACUGCCACCAUCCAUCAGCACUUUCGAGAGUCGGGUGUUGAUGAUGAUAGGGUCGACGACGAGCGGGUAGAUGCCUGGGGCGACCACCUUGUCAGGGUGAUCUUCUCGGUCGAAGGUGAUGGGAGUGCUUGACCAGCUAAGAUAAUGGGGCACCGCCAUUCUUGCUGCAAAGACUUCGCGAUGCUCCCUUUUGCGCUGCCUCGCGGUCAACUGAGUCGAAGGCCCACCAUAGAUCAUGUAGCAGUCGUGGACGGCGGGGAAACUGUCGUCAUCUUUGUUGUCUUCCUUGCCGCCAGCCUUCUCCUUCUUGGAGUCCUCGCGCGUAUCUUUUUGGAACCUCUGACCGUCGAAAUGCUUUCUCAGCAUACGACAGUCCUUGAGUUUGUGGUUAGCGCCUCCCUUAUGGUAAGGGCACGGCUCCUCCAACAUCUUGUCGAAGAUGCCUCCCUCCGGAGGGCCUCGCGGCUUCUUUCGAUCCAUCGCGGCGACAAGGUCGUCACCCGAAUCUCCCUGGUGGAACUGCCGCACCUUCUGCUUCUUUUUAUUUUUCUUGAGGCCUCGACUGGAAGUCCCAUCUUCAUCGACGGGCUGCUUGCCUUUUCUUCCUUCUGAGCUGAAGAAGGCGCCGACUGCCUCCUCCCCUGCCGCGUAGUUAGCUACUACGUCCAUCAGCUCGUCGACGGUCUGAGGUCGAUUGCGGCCUAAUUCCCGCACCAAGUCUCGACUGGUGGUGCCCGAGACGAACGCCAAGAUGACGUCGUGGUCGGGGAUGUGUGGCAACUCAGUGCGCUGCUUCGAGAAGCGUCGAGCGUACUCCCGAAGAGUCUCUCCUGACUUCUGCUUGCAUUUGCUGAGGUCCCACGAGUUCCCUGGCCGUAUAUAGGUCCCUUUGAAAUUACCCUCGAAGACUCUGACCAGGUCAACCCAGUUGUGAAUCUGAUUGGAUGGGAGUUCCUCGAGCCAUCGACGGGCGGUGUCAGAGAGAAAAAGGGGUAGCUGUCUGAUGAUGGCUCGAUCAUCCCCCCGAGCGCCACCUAGCUGACAAGCCAGCCUGAAAUCGGCCAGCCAUAGCUCUGGCUUGGUUUCUCCAUUGUACUUCGCGAUGCUGGUUGGGGGUCGGAAUGGACUAGGCAGGGGCGUGCUGCGAAUCGCCCUGCUGAACACCCGCGGGCCCGGUGGCUCGGGGGCCACCCGGUCCUCGUCGCUGUCGUACGUCCCACCGCGAUGCGCGCUAUAACCACGUUCUUCCGCGUCUCCGUGCCGGCGGCGUCUAUUUUCUUUGACAUCGUGUCGCGCGUCGUGUCGACGUUGAUUGUCGGCAGGGAGGAUGAGAGCGGCCUUUCUACCUUGAGGGGGAGGUUGUUGCUGGACAGACACCUCCUCUUCGAUUAGAGGCUGUUCGUCGCGCUUCUCUGUGGCAGCCCCUCGUCGUCGAGAUGCUGAACUUUCGGCUUGUUGAACUGCCGCCACCUGGAGCAAUGUCUGAACUUCAUCUCGAAUUCGUCGGGCCUGGGAAUUUGAUGGUUCCGGCAUGUUACGUAGCAGCAUCGUCGCUGCCACUACAUUCUGGCCUGCUCGAGGGAAACGGCUGACGGGUUGCUCCGCCUCUGCGUCACCGACGAUCUGUCGAUGUACCUCACGAGCGCGUCUGCGGACACUUCCACCUGGCGAGUAGGGCAGGUGUUGUUCGAGGAUUUGCUCGAGCAGGACGAGGCGCUCGCGAUCUUCAUCGAGCUUCAUCUUGAGCUCCCGCAGCUGCGCGAGCUGCGCAGUUCUAUCUUCCUGAGGAAGAGGGUCGAGCCGUCCGUCGUUCCCAGGUGUCCUGGGGUCUUCUUGCGCCGCGGGGGCUCGACCACCCGCAGCAGCAUCCCGUGUCUCGUCGGUGGUUUCUGCCGCCCCGUCGAGGUGAUAGCAUUCCCUCGUAGGGUCAUAGCUGUCUGUCUCAGAGUCGGAGUCCGGUUCGGCAGCGUGGAAACACCCACGUCCUUCCUCCAGCCAUCGUUGCCUGAGGGAGGUGAUCGAGUAUCGUCCGGGGUCUAGACGGCGGAGGCCUCGUACUCGGGAGAGGUCCGGCAGUUCGGACGUCGGCCGCCGCGCUUCAGAGCUACGUGGGAUGACCAUUGGUCUUUCCACGUACGUCUGAGCGUUUGGGCGUAUCGUCUUGGCGAGCGACGCCGCGGCGUUGUCCAACCCGAACGGCAGUGCCGCCCUUGGAGAGAACGACCCGUGUGGAAGCAGCCUAGCUGCGGUGGGGGAGGGUGCGCGAGACGCGUCUCCCCCCGUCGUCGCGUGGUGCUGAGUCGUCGUGCUUGUUGCUCGGUCACACGGUGUCGCCGACCCGUGGCCCACAUCCUGCCUUGUGCGAGUUGUUGGUCGUACCGAAGCAGAGGGGCUGCGGUGGUGCUGCCCGCGCCUCUUCUUAGGCGGGGAGGCGUGGUGGUGAGGGCGUCUCGGGUCCUUCAACCGUGCUGGCGUAACGCGGACUCCUCCUGGUCCUUUGACUGAGAGCAAGAUCAUGUCGUAGCCGGAGCCCGUAGACACGAACUCGAGACUCCCAAACCAAAUCACCGUGGAGCGCGGAAGCGGCGAGGCAAGAGUAGCCAUCCGGGAAGUAGUGGGAAAUCGGUAAAAAACACGCAGGACCUACCUGGCGCGCCAACUGUCGGUGUUUUUCCCCCGGGGGGUCACACCAACGAGUAAAUUUGUAUGCGUGCUCCCCUUUCCGGAUGGUGAUGCAAGAAGACACAGAGAUUUAUCCUGGUUCGGGCAAGAGAAGGCCCUACGUCCAGCGGGGGGAGAGAGUUUGUAUUAUCUUGCACCUAAGUGCUUGUACAGGGGCGAAUACAAGCGUGGUAUGAAGUGUCUAGCUCUACUACGUGUGUGUGUGUGCUCUUGUAUUGGGAUGUCUACAUCUUCUAUUCCUGAGUCCCUCCUUUUAUAGCUCCAAGGAGAGACACAGGGUACAUGCAUAGAUGUUAGAGUAGGGAUCGAUAGCCGCAUGGAGCGCUGACCUACUCGAGGCUUCCGUACGGCAUGGCCUCGAGCCGUCCCAUCUUGAUAGCUCGGUGAUGAUUGCGCGUGCUCCUGUGUUCUGCCCUGCCAGCCGCCUCGUGCUGGUUCUGAGGUCGCACGCUUGUACGGUAUGGUGGCGGACCCGACGGGGUAGCUGUGAUGAAGUCAGUCGACGCCCAACUUGUCCCUGGGAAGGGGCCCUGUUUGGUCGAGGGUCGGACGCCGUGUAAUAUGCUGGCGUCUGGAGCGCUGACCUUGGGUGUCUCGAGGGGGUCCCGAUUAGACGUUUCAUCCUUGUUUCCUGCAUCCUGACACGCCCUGGGUCGUUCGGUGGGAAAGCUGCAAAAAGAACGAUGGGACAGAAGCUUGCUCCCUAUCACGCCUUCCGUGACCUGUGUGUUAGGUGGGGAAGCGUCAGGCGCAUUUAAUGCUCCGGCCCGCGUGCGCGCGUCGGGCGGCGGACAGUGUCCUCACGCCCGACACCUCUUGGUUCGCUCGAGCCUGCUUCCGUCAUCGACGGCAGUCGUCGCUCGAAUCCUGAACCGAUUCGCUCGACGCUAUUUCCGUCUUCGAGGCUGCGACCGUCGAUGGCGGCGCAUACGUAAGAUUAGAGCGUCGAAUUAAGGGUCUCGACCUUCGUACGGUCAAUCUCAUAAUGCGCAUCGCUGAGGGUACCCCUUACCGAUACCCUCGACAAGCAUUGAGUGUGGUCAAGCUGUGUAGACCCUUAGGAGCUUGUCAUGUGGUUAAAUCAAGAUUCACUUGCACGUUCACUCAUAUAUGCUACUUCUACUCCGGAAGUACCAUCCACAUAUAUCCAUUCAUUUCCAUCUCCAGAACCACCUAAAAAUAUUCUACUCCUAAUCCGGGAGAGAAUAACCAAAAAUAUUUCUAUUUUCCCCUUGUGAAAUAAAUGCUCAAGUUAUCUUGUUACUACCACUUGCGAUAUUAUCUCAAGAGAUGAGUGCUCUAAAAAAAAUAAUAUACGAGGAAAUAAAAAGGAGCAAGUGCUCGGAACCUCGAAAGAAAAGAAAAGUGAGACGAGAGGUAAAAAUGGACAAGUGUCUGACAGUAGAAUUAGGGGUACAAGAUACCCACCUGAGAGAAAAGAAAAAUAUAGAGCAUCUCAUUCUCCUCAUAAAGUUUCAAAAAGCAAGGAAGGUAUGUAUCCCUUCAAAAGAGCAAAAGUAGAAUUAGACUUCCACCACCAUUGUUUUCACCAUUGUUAUCACCAUCAUCACCAUACACCAUU